rnacentral:lncRNA from 1 species
UUCUACAAAGAUUCAUGGAAUUAGAAGACCUUUUUUAUUUUGGACGAGACGAUAAAAGAGAAACCGAAUACACAUGUAAAAAACCCCCUAUAGGAAUACACAAGGAAAUCGUACAAUUGGCCAAAAUAGAUAAUCAGGGUCAUCUCCAUAUCAUUUUGCAUUUUUUGACAAAUAUAAUCUGUUUGGCUGGUUACAAAUUAGUAGUACACAUCUUUUCUCUCUCCUCUCUUAUCUUUUUAAAAUAUACUUAUAGCUAGCUUAUAGCUGCUAUUGUACCUGUUCUAAGGCAGCUCAUUUUUUUUGAUGAAGGAGAAGUUAAAUAGGGAACAUUUUACGAGGAUGAUGCAUGGUUGCAUCCUAGUAAAUUAUCCUAGUAAAUUAUACAUAGGAGUUUAUAAUUAGCAUGUUUUAUCAUUAAUUAGGGGCGAUUAUUUGACUUCUUUAUGAACAAAACCAAUGAUAUAUUUAUAAAUAAAAAAUAAUUUAUGAAUAAAACUUUAUAUACAUAUUCUUAACGACCUAAAAAGUCAAAUACUGAAAAAUAAUUUUCGUGAACACCAAAAUCAACUCUAAAUUUAAGGUUAAAAAAUCAUAUCUUAGCUUAUAAGCAUAAGCAAAAGCGAAAAAAGGGUUAGUAAUUCAACUUUGGCGCCACCACACGCGCCUCGCCGUCUGCCCAUCUCCACCACCCACUAUCAGUUUUUCUACCACCCAACCAUCCCUCUAAAACUGCCCACAUCACCCUCUACCCCCCUCCAACCGCCUUCAACCCUAAAAUUCUAUCCGUAGUUGUUCUACCAAAAUUCGGGGGUGGUCAUCGCCGUCAUUGUCAUCGAUUAGUCAUUGUUGCUUUCUUCUCACUCCUCUCCUUCUCUAUGCUUUGGUCUAAGGUUGAAGACGACAUUCACCGUUGGAGUGUGAUUUAAUGGUCAGGGCAAUUGAUCGAUGGAUUCAUAAGUUUCAAUUGAUUGGUCAAUAGCAAAAAUGUUAUAUAAUUUACUCCACCCAACAAAACAUAAAAUGGAUCACCGUACCCCUGAAAACAUAGAUGACCAUAUCCAAUCCCAACGUAUUCCUGAAAUAUGGAUGGCCAUAUCUAAAUUUCACCUUAACCGCCAACUAAACACAUCCUAAUAUUAGUAUUAGUACUAUGGACUUCUCAGGAUAUCAACAUUCAGUUGGUAUCAUCUAUAGUACUGCUAAUUGAUAUAUGAACUCUACGUGUUAUUGUGUCUAAUUGUCUACGUAUCGGUGAACAGUACUAUGGUAGAUGAUCUAAAUUUAUUGACCAAUCAACUUCUCCAUGAAGUAUUGGAGUUGAUCGACUUGUACUACCUCCGUCCUCUGAGACUUAUUUUUAGUUUUUCUAGAAAGAUUUCUUAAGUAAUUUAUUGCAUUGAAGUUUAGUACAGUGGGGAUAAGUGCAUUGAUUUUUAUUUUAAAAAACAGGGGAUAAAUGUAUCGAGAAUACAAAAAAAUGAAGGGUAUUACCGUCUUUGUGGUUUUGUAUGAGAUAUGUUAAAAUAAAGUUUAUCUAUCAAAAAAAAAGUAUACUAUUGUUUCACGGUACAAAGGAUUUAGAUUCGUAAUAAAUAAUUCUACACGUGUCUUUUGAUUUGUACCAAUAAAAUAUAGGAAAAUUAAAGGACAAUACUUUCCUAAAAGUAUCCAGUGAAAACAAUGGAAAUUUUACCCACUAAGGCCCUAUUUAGUUGAGAAAUUUUUGAGUUUGGUUAUCGCAUGAGAUAUAUGGACACAUAUUUGACAUAUUAGACAUAGUCUAAUAAAAAAACAAAUUAUAAAUUUCGCCAGGAAACUACGAUACGAAUUUGUUAAGCCUAAUUAAUUCAUUAUUAACAAAUAUUUACUGUAGCACCACGUUGUCAAAUCAUGGUGCAAUUAGACUUAAAAGAUUUGUCUUGUAAUUUACACGUAAUCUAUGUAAUUGAUUUUUCUUUUUACCUAUGGGUAAUAUUCCAUAUCAAAUAUUAAAUGAUAACGUGAAAAUUUUGGUUUUGGGAGAGUAAACAGGGCCUAAAAGAAAUUCAAUUUGUAUUAUCCUUCACUUCUAUUAGCAUGGGACGCAGGGGUUGCUGUUUCGUCCCGUUGAGGGACUGUCGCAGUCAGAACUCAGAAGGCCCUUUUUCUUUGUCUAGGCUCACUUGAACUCUAGCUCGCUCGCAGCACAAACCACGGAGGGAGAACGUAACGUACGCCUAUUAUAUGGGUGCAAUCUGGCGGUCUAGAGUAAUAUGAUAUUUAGAUUAAGAAAAUUUUUAGAAAAAGUGUCAUGUUAAAUGUUUGAUCAAAUGUCAGAAGGGUUUUUGGACACGAAUGAAAAAACGAAUUUCACGGUUAGCCUAGAAACCCCAAGACGAAUCUUUUGAGCCUAAUUAAUCCGUCAUUAGUACAUGUUAGUUACUGUAGCACUUAUGGCUAAUCAUGUGCUAAUUAGGCUCAAAAGAUUCGUCUCAAGAUUUCUUUCAUAACGGUGCAAUUAGUUUUUUGGUUCAUCUAUGUUUAAUGUUUUAUUUAGGUGUCUAAAAAUUCGAUGUGAUGUUUUUAAAAAAAAAUUUUGAACUAAACAAGCCCUAAAUACAGCAACAACACCAGUACACCACGCCGUCAUCAGUUUUGGCAACAUUGUGUCGUCAUCAGCUUUGGCAACAUUGGCAACACAAUGUUGCUUGCUAUGCCCAUGCCAUGCCGAAUCCAAUGAAACCUUAGGCUGGAGUAAUGAAAGUAGCAGGAUGGACGGUGACGGUAGGCUUGGCUUGACCGGACGAGGAGUCUUAGCAUCGCGUCUCGAAUCUCUGUACUUCGAUUUGCUCGGGGGGCAGGGACAGGGAGAGCGACAGGCUGCGAGGUGCGUUGUGCUUCUUGUGCUAAAACAGGCCUAGUUACUCUAAUUAUCUGAAGUCAGGUUACUUGCCCUUCUAAAAACAAACACUGAGACCUUGUUUAGUUUAUAAAAUUUUUUUUUGCAAAAAUAUCACAUCAAGUUUUUAAACACACAUUUAAAAUAUUAAACGUAGUCUAAUUACAAAACAAAUUUUAGAUUCCGCCUAAAAACCGCGAGACGAAUCUUUUGAGUCUAAUUAAUCCAUCAUUAGCACAUGUUGGUACUGUAGCACUUAUGGCUAAUCACGUCCUAAUUAUACUUAAAACUUAAAAGAUUCGUCUCAUAAUUUUCUCCAUAACUGUAUAAUUAGUUUUAAUGUUCAUAUAUAUUUAAUGUUUUAUUUAGGUGUCCAAAGAUUCGAUGCGAUGUUUUUGAAACAAGUUUUUGGAACUAAACACAACCUCAAUACAAGAAUUCAGGUUAGUUGCUCUUCUCAAAAAGAAACCAAUAAUGCUAUGCUAUACAUACGAUUUUUACCGCACGGUUAUGACCAGAAGACCAGAAACCGAACAAUGGUGGCCACCGAAGCAUUUUGUCAUCCGACUAUUUACGUAUAGCAGCGAUCAAAAGAAACACGGAAUACAGGAAUUCCAUCAGUAUGGUCGACGUCAGUCAAACUCCAAUUCCAUUCGGCAAAAGUUUCUGCUACUGUUUCACAAUACUUAACGAUCAUCAUUUUAAACUUUUACCAUCUGUUUCUUUAAUUCCAUUCGGCAAAUGAACGUUGUAUGACUGUUUAUUACAAGAUAAAGAGAAAUAUUUUAAAUUUGCUUUUGUUCAAAGAGUGACCAAAGUUUGGCUGGUUAUAGCGUCUGCUCACAUUUCGUGAGAAACAGGAUUUGUGCCAGAACAAAACUUUGGGAUAGUACCAAAGACGGGUGAUUAUGGAAAAAACCAAAAGCCAUAUUUGCAAACAGAAAAUAAUCUAUGAAUAAAAAAUUUAUAUACGUGAUCUAAAAGUUAAGGCUAAAAACAAAAUACGAUAAAAAAACUCAAAAUCAACUCUAAACUUACGGUUAAAAAUUUAAAUUUUAGAUUAUAAACAUAAGAAAAACGAAAAGAUAUGGAUGAUAGUUUUCAACAGCACCUCGAGGUGAUAGGUAUGGUUUUCUUACACAUUGAGGUGACAAAAACGUAUCAUUCAUUAUGGUGAUAGUUUCGCAGUCUUUAAAAAACCCUUUCUCAUCCAGGGUUAACUUUGGCUGCUAAUCACCUGCCAUAAACGAUACCGAUUAAGCAUAUUGAGAUCAAUUUACAUAUUUCAUUUAUAAUGGUUGCUUACAUACAAUUCCUCAUCUAACAUUCAGUUCCAGAAAUGAAAGCUACAACUGCAAAUUCACAUGAAAAGUGGUCAUACGGCGUGGUAUCCGCAGAUUAAUCCCAGUCAGCAUCAAAGAACCCAGCGUCUUUCAUCUCAGAGUAGUACACGUUCUCUAGGAGCAUAUCUUCCUCCUACAUUCACACAAGAACCAGCACUAUAAAGAAAAUGCUAUAAGAAUAAGACUGUACACGGAAUAUUCGAAGUGCACAAGAUCAAAUAGCUAAAAAAGCAUAGUAAGUUGAUAGGAAGAAGAUAAUAUCGUACCUGGAAAAAGUCUGCUAGGAAAGUCACAUAGAGAAGCGGAAGGUAGAGAGAAUGAUAACAGACGCUGGUGAGAUUGUACAACCUGCAAGAUGAAGUAUCCGCUCAAAUAAUGCUCUCAAAUGCAUCACACUGAAAUGCUACAAAAAGGGCUAGUGUUUACCAUAAACCAAAUCCAGCUCCAGUUGCAACAAGGAAACAUCCAAACAGUGAUAUGCCAUUCAGUAGUAACAUCGCACAGACAUAGUUAUAAUAUGCUGGUUUUGCUGCAAUGAAGUAAUACAAAACCACUGAUUAUGGAACAACAAAUACACAGCUUAAACAUACAUAAUGAUAACUGUGCUGUAAACUGUAAUCAAUUACCAGGUAGCCUGUCUCUCCACCUUGAGUGAUACAUGAACACAAUCAAGCCAUAGACACUAGUAAGAACCAAUUUGUGUAGAAUCCAUAGGCCCCACUUCCCACCAGUUCCUUGAUCAACAUCAAUGAACAAAGAAACACCAAAGCCAAACACAUAUAUAGUCUGUAGAAGGAGCAAAUGUGAGUUCAAAGCUAACAUAGUGCUCUCUAGGCUCUAGCUAAAAUAUGACAACUAAACUGAAUGGAACCAACAAAAGCAUAGAGGGUUGUUCCUGGGCCUUGUUUUAUUUUCAGCAGUCAAAAUACAUGUUCUACAGAGUGCAGUAUGAUAAGACGAGAGCAAACAAGAGCAACUAACAAUAGAAGAUGCACACUGAGUUGCAACACGGAAUUAUAGAACACUGAAAAUAGCAUACUGUUGCAUUCUAACAAGUAACAUAUGAAUGUGAUCAGCCUGAUACGUUAAAAAAUUACAUUUCUAGCACAUUGUUGUUAAGAAAGCAACAUAAAAUAGCAUUGCAAUUAUGUUCUGGCUAUUAAUAAAGGUGGGUGGGUUGCACGAGCCAGGUAAAGAAACACAAUGCCAUCCCGAGAGCAACAAAGGCAGGUAUGAGAUAAGCGGUUACUUCUACUCUACCUGAAGCCUGAACCAGAGCAGUGCAUACCUUCAACAAUACAUCAGCAGCAACUACAGCUCCAGAGAUAACAAAUGUACGUGCCAAAGAUUCAAAACCACUGGUUUCAUUUCCUUGAAGUAGAAAUGCUAUGAGGCUAACUUCCAAGAAUAACAUCCCUGAUUUGGUAAACAGAGACAGCACAUUCCAUGAGAAUGCCCUUUCAGGCAUGCAUUGCCAAGCCUGCGAUUCAAGCAAAUAAAAACAACUGUUAUACAAGACUAUGAAAAAUAAGUAAUAUAUAGGAUAAGAUACAGUAGGAAUAAAAUAGGUCAAAACUUGUGUGGUUCCAGCACAACCCAGACCUCCAGUCACUAAAUUGACAACUACUAUCAAUAAAAGGCUAAAUGUAUGUUCACCAAAACAACUUAUCCAAUGAAACACAACCAUCCACCUAACUUCUACCUCCACUAAACGUACAAAACGUUAACUAAAACCAUUCUACUCCAGAACAAAACAUUAACUAAACGUACAAAUUUUGCACUGUUCAUCAACCCACUUAUCCUACUCCCAAUCACACACUAACAUGUCGUACGCACAUCGCCCUGUUAAUCAGAACCAGGAAGGCAGGCGCGCAAUUCACAGGGGUAAUAGUUAGCAUUUCAGUAUUUGUAACCUUCUCACAGAUUAUUCUGACCCAACAGGCUAGUGCCCUUACAGGAACAACCCUAUUUCACUCGUCGUCACAGCCAGCAAACCAAAUACUAGAAUCAAGCAGGCAGUUCCAUGACCCACCAAAUCAAAUUAUUAGAGACGAGGAACACGAAGGCAAGGCGAGAGGCGAACCUGCAGGAAGCACCAGAGGAGGUUCAGGAUGGCGACGGCCCAGAGGAGCGCGUAGUAGGCGACGACGACGACGUGGGAGCGGCCGUAGCUGAGCCGGCGGAAGCUGCGGCGCGCCUGCCACGCCAGGAACCCGACGAACGCCAGCGACGGGAGCAUCACCGCCAGGCUGUACAGCGCCCCGUGGCACCCGGUCACCCACCACAUCGGCCCCGACUGCGAGGAGGCGUUGGCCUCCGGCGCCUCCACCGCCAGCUCCAUGACGCCCUCCGCCAGCCACCUCCGCAUCGUCACCCCCCUCCGCGCGCGCGCGCGAGCUAGGGUUUGGCCGGGGUUGGGGCGGAUGGGAUCCCGCGGUGGAGGUUGCCGAAGCGGCAAGGCUCCGCACGCUCGCUCGCGCCCGGGGCGUGGUGGGUCGGUGGGGUUGGGUCAAAAGGGGGGAGGAGGCGAGAGGAGGACGACGACGCGAUGCGACCGAACGGAAGAAGAAGAAGGGGAAGACGAUCUUAGUACAGUGAAGUAUUGGGCUUUGGGCUGUGGGCUACGUGGGGGCCCACCGAUGACGUGUUGGACGGGCCGACACGACCUGGUGGCUUUCUUUCUUUCAUCUGUUCUGGUUUUUCCGUUAGAGUUUCUUUUUCUUUGGAUUCAGAUGCAGCACCAACUAUGGGUUUAUGCCAUUUCUUGUGGGAAGUGACAGCAAAUCCAUCUGAAACAUGGAUCGAGAAAGAGAUGUUUCAUUUUUUUCAACGAGACGUUUCAUUCGCGUUGAAAAGCUAAUAGUACACACGAUCGCAUUGCUUUUGCAUAGACACGCAAUCAAUGUUUGUGAACAAAAUUGAUUGGAUUUGGAUGGCUAACAUUGUAAGUUUCUAACAGACGUGCCCAUACCUUGCAACAUCUCUUCCAUGUUUUUGGCUAUAAAUGAGUUGUUGUUACACAUAAGCCUGAUGAUGGUUUAGGUUUUGUAAGGGUUUUUACCAUGUGCACUUGCAAAGUGCAAACCAUGGUUUCUAUAACUAUCAACACAGAAAUUCGGAGCACAUAAGCAAACAUUUAGCACCACCCUCUCUUUCGAACAUGGGGCCAAUUCCAGGUUUUCUUUAUGGAAAUCACACGCUAAAACAAAGACGUACAUGUACGCCAGACGCCCCCUUUCUUUCUCCCACGCACCGAUCACUUCCAACAACUGAAAGUUUAAGCAACUUUCAACUACUUUUUGUAGCUCUGUAAUUUAAACUUCCACUGUGAAAAGAAUAACGGGACAAGUUUAAGCUAAAAGUUCUAUAGUAUAAACUCAAAAGCCAGCAACAGAACUUCAGUUUAACUCCCCAAACCUAUUGCUGUUGUAUCAGGCUCAUGGGCGUCGCAUUAAUUAUUGUAACUUUAAAAAUAGAUCAAUAUAACUUUUUUCAAAUAAACUUUUAGAUAGAAUUUUUUUACAAAAGACACCGUGUUACAGUAAUGAAAGCGUGCUUACAAUGAAAAGUAGAAUUUCCUUUCUAUCCCUUCCUCCUGAACUCAGCCUUAAGCACUGUUCGGGGAAGCUUUCAGUACAGCAAACAACUUGUUUCAGAUAGUGGGCUAACAUGAGUUCAUUGUCACCGCAUCAGAAUUCAGAAUCCUACAAUCUCCUAUUAGCUCUCUACCUUGCAAUUACCUAGGGCUGCCACUUUCUACAACAAAGAUACCCCGCAAUAUGUUGCUGCCACUAAUUUCAAGAAUUGACAAAAUGUUAUCGGGUUGGAUACCACUCUCCUUUGGGGGGGAAGCUGACAAUGUGAUAAAUGCAGUACACUCAGCAAUCCCGACAUAAUACAUGUCAUCUUGUCAAUGGCCAGUUAAAUCAAUUAAAGCAAUAGAUAAAUUGAGAAUGAGAUUUCUUUGGAAAGGUGAAAAACAAUUAAAGGAGGGCAAUGUCUUAUAGUCUGGCAAACAGUUCUAAUGUCAAAGUAAUAGGGAGGCUUAAGAACUAAAGAUCUCAGGACACAAAAUAGCACUACUGCUGAAAUUCAGGAAAAAUAUACUAGGAGAAACAGAACAACCAACAAACAGUUGGUUCAAAGGAAGAUACAUACAUGCAUUAUACCUUCACGGCCAAGAGCGAAUGACACUCCGAUUUGAAAACUAAUCAAGUCCAACGUUGCCCAAUUUGUCCAGGUCACAAAAACUAAACUGGAAAAUGAAAACACAACUCUUUUCUGGAACAACAAUUGGACGACAUCCCAUUUUAUGACCACUUUCCCAGCACUGUUCUCAUUUGCAAUAGACAAAGACGGCAGGUGGAAUCACAAUUCCAAAAUCACUCUUGGACCAUCAAGCUAUACCCUAACCUUUUCCUCGUAAGCACAGACAAAAUCGUAAAAGAUCCAACAAAUUAUAAACUUCGAGUAUAUAUAUCAAAUGUUGACCUAUCGUGGAUGCUAUGGCAUCUAGCUCAAUAUGUUUGGUUAAGAGUUUUACCAAAUAUCUGCAAAAUUUUCCUAUGGCUGGCCUUCAGAGACCGACUGAAUACUAGAACUAACAUGAGAAAAAACAAAUGGGAUGACAACCCACAUUGUGACAUCUGCAUACCAACUGAAACAACAGAUCAUAUAAUCCUCAGAUACAACGCAGCCUCACAAUUAUGGGAAGAACUGCAUUUACUAAACCUAGCCAACAGCUCUACUUCAACACUAGAAUUUUUGGAGUCAAUAAGAGGCCAUAAUGGAAUCAUCCCAGGAAUAGAACCAAUCCGGUUUGCAGCAAGUACCCAUACUCCAUGGAAAGGAAGGAAUGAUAGGAUUUUUGAAGGACAACAACUACAAAUCACAAAUACAACUCAACAAAUAAAAGGAACCUCUUAGCCUGUGAUGCCAUCGAGCCAACAAUGCAACCAAAGCAAAGAUCACCUAAUGGUCUCAGCAGUUUUUUAAGUUCUUUCUAAGUUUCUUGUUUCUUCAUUUUUUUUUGGUACAGCUUCCACUAUUGUAAAUUCACCUCUCCUCACCCCCCCCUCCCCCUCUUUUACCCUGUAACACUUAAUUUCAAUCAAUGAAAUGGCUUGUAGAGCUACCUCUACCUUCUUACGUCAAAAAAAAGAUCUGAAAAGGGUCAGCAUUUCUUGCAGUAAAGUAUCUUUGAUGGUAAAACUUUCAUGGGCAGAAAAAUAAGAAAUAGUCAGAUGAACCCCACAUUCCACAUCCAUUAGAUUGGUUGUCUGCUAUCUCUAUAAGUAUAUACAAAACACUUCUAGUAUCUCCCUGCAUUAAACUCUAACUUCAGUAUCUAACGAUGUCGAUAUUUUGACACAGAACCAGGUAAUGUGACUUUUCUUUCCCAAAAUAUGAUACGGUAAUUUCAAGCAAUGGAGCAUAUAUGAACUCCAACAGCAGCAGCUGCCUCUGCCAAACAGCAAGGGCAAGAGCAAUUACUUAAGAUUUGAAGUGAUGAGUGGUGACCAAAGAACUGUUUAAGAGGCAGAGUUUGUUCUUACUGUCUCUCACUCGUCAUCACUGUCGAAAACAACUAUCUUUCUACGAUUAACAGGUGGCUUCCUUGGUGGAGAUUCAUUGUCAGAGUCGAUCCCUUUGUGCUUGUUAACAUGCUCUUGUUCCUGCAAUAGAAGUUGAAUGGUUACCACAAUCAAAGACAAAAAAGUAAACGGACAGAAGUUUCAGGUAAAAUGUGAAAAAUCUGCCAUAGAAGAGAUUUUGGUAGACGUAAUGAACGACAGUUAAUCGACUGCCAACAGAAUUUAAAAUGAACUAUGAUGACAUAACAGAUAGAAUGUUAUUGCCAAGCAUCAUAAGGCAUUUUCUUAGUCAUCACGUGACACGAUCAAUCAAUGGAAAGUGCUGGAGCAUUGUCAAGAUACAAAUGUCUGGAUGCAAAAGUUGGUUCAAUUGAUGAUUUUAUCAUCCAGUAAGGCAGUUCAUGCUAGAUAUUAUUGCUGGUAUGCUAUUAGGAAUAUCAAACUUCGCAGCUAAUGAUAGCCGGUAACUAGCAGGAAAGAGACAGUGCAAUAUUCCAAAGUAAAAUUCCUUCAAUUAUGCAAGAAAAAUUCUUGUGCAAUUCAUCUGAUUUUCAUUUCCAGGUUAUCAUGAAAUACUUUUACAGCUAACCAAGAGUUUGAAGUCAACAAUAUCUCACCUCAUUAUUUUCAUCGGACAUGGAAUUAUCGCCUAUGACUUCUUCUGGGUCUUCUUCCUCCUCUUCCUCCAGAUCUUCUUCCCUUCCAUUCGUUGGUGAAUUAUCUAUAUCCUUGACAUCUGUUUCAAGCUCUGAUUCCUCCUUUUCACUCUCGGAAUACUCAUUCGCCUGAUGCCUGGGUACAUCAGCAGAUGAAACAGCUUUCCCUACAUUUUCCUGAAAUCAUGAACACGAAAUUAUGAAUAAAUUGGCAUCAGUUUUAUCAAAAUAAGAUGGCUCCAACAAUGACCUUUACAGUAGUUGCACGUCCCUCAGAACGUGCUUCCACCUCCAAGUCAUCCACAAGAUGUGCACGAUCUGGGCCUUGGUGCCAAUUGUAACCAACUCCACGUGCAUCAUCCUACACCCAUCACCGGCGGAGCCAGGGGGUGGUCCGGGUGGUCACCGGACCACCCAAAAAAAUGCUAAUCAGCCCUUAAUAUCCAAAAAAUGAUAAUUUUUAUCGAUUGGUAUUCUCGCAAAUGACGUAACAUGAUCAUCUUUAUUGAACGGGAUGUUUUUUAAAAUGGAUGCAGAAGAUAUAAUGAAUACUUUUAUAGCCAUUAGAAUUUAGAAGUCAUAGACUUGAUAAGAAGAAAUGUAGUAUGGUAAUAUUCUUUAAAUUUUUCUAGGUAUUUAAGCUUCUAUUUUAUUGCGGGGAAGCCAUAUAUGUUUCUUUGAAUCAAAAUUUUACUUAACUACUAAUUUUAUAUGUUUUAAGAUGCUUUAUUCAUAUAUUCUAGUGUACUUGUAGUCUAUUCUAUUAUCUAUACUUGCAUAUAUAUAUGUGUGUGUGUGUGUUAGCAUACUGUGUUUACGAAAAAAAAUCGGUCGGACCACCCAUAUCCUAAAUCCUAGCUUCGCCACUGACACCCAUCAUGGAAUUCCCACGAAAUUACCAUGAGAAUUACCAUCGAUGAUUCAAAACAGAAUCAGAGUUUGCUUGAAACUAGCACCCCCCAGAAAAUGUCCAGCAUAGCAUAUUUUGCAUGUGAGGGAUUAAAAGAGUAAUUUUCCAAGAAGGAUGAGCGGUAAAGACAGCAUAACUGUUUUUAGAAAUGCACAUAUUAUUAUAAGAGGAAUGCUUAACUCCCCAAAAACUGCAGUUCCGACAACUUAAAGUGGAUUGGAAGACUGAGAUUACUUUCAUGAUCAGUAAUAUGAUGAUAUCUUUAAACUUAUUAAGAAAAUUCCUAAUACCAGGCUUCAACCCAUCUACACAUGCGGCCCCAAGACAGUGACUACAUAGCUGCCUGCUAAUUCCCAUGCAGUUGGUUGAACACAUGGCCAUGGCUGUGGGAGGGCACAAUGGUAGCCUCUGCUGUGGCUCAUGGGACCAUGUGAGGCUAUGGAAGCAAUAGUUUUUUACCUUUUCGUUGCAACCACUUAUCGAACAUAUGGUCAUGGCCAUUUAGUGAAUAUGAUUUUUAUAUCUCAAACAGAAAUUUUGCAUGUCUACCUAGUUAAAUGCAAGAGAUCACUCAAGCAUGUAUGGUCAAAUAAGUAUACUUGACAUUUUUUUCUCAAAAACGCAGGAGAGCCAGUAUACUUGACGUUGAUCACUGUUAAAGAAAAAAAAUAAGGAUAGGUAUAUGUAGAUAUCAUUCUCUCACAUGAGGACUUGACGGCAAUAUCACUGAUUGAAAAGAAUUAGGGAUUAAUUAAUUAGACAUAGUGGAUCUAAAUGUUUGGUUUCAGAUCCUAACUGGAUGGGUCCUUAUGUUACUAAUUUGCCCCAUCCCCCAAGAAAUAAUUAAUUUGUUAACUUUGAAGAUUUGUGCAAAAUUAGAGUGGAAGUGGAAGAGUGUGGGAGCACCCUAAUUAUAAAAUUGCCUCUUGAAUGAAAAAACUCAAUACUUAGAGCAUCUCCAAGAGAAUGCUAAUAUUUUGUUAUCCAAAAACUUGUAUUGGAUUCAUCUUAAAAAAAUAUUGGGCAUAAAAAUUACUCACUCCUCCAAUAGAAAUUUAAAAAUGAAUAACUUGUAUUAGGAACCCAUAUUUUUGCCCCAAAUUUAGGAUACAAUUGAGAUAAUUUUAGGCAUGAGUAAAUAUUAGGAAUGUAUUUGGUAACCUGUUGGAGAUAUAUUUUCUAGUCCAAUUCCCAAAAUUUGGUUUUAGAGAUCAAUUUUAGACAUCUCUUGGAGAUGCUCUAAGGCAAGAAACUAACCUCAUCUAAUGCAUCUUCCAGAAAAACAGGGGUAAGUUUCUGCUUUUGAUAUUUGCGCUUCACCUGUUCUCUUUUUCGUUGAAGACUUGAAUUAGCUCGAAUAUUUUCUUCUUCAGCCUGUGUAUAUCAUAUAUCAGUAAAAAGCUAAAACUUCAUCCAAGUCUUUCCUUCAAAAAAUAUUCAUCCCAAGUCAAAAUAGACAAUUUUUACAUAAUGAGAAGAGCAAUAUCACAAUGAUUUGCAUGUGUUUGAUGAUGAAAUCAUCGAGGCAAUCCCAAUACGACAUAUAAUAUGUAAGCCCAAAAAAAGGACCAUGAAUUUAAAUUAUGCACCAUAAAGAAACCCACCGGUACAGACAUUUUUUUUUAGUAUAUUGUUCCUUCAAGUACAUAAGCACAUACCCCCACCCCCCAUAAAAAGAGAGAUAAGUUUGCCUGGCAGGCAGUGUAGUCAUCACGUACAUAGACGUCCCACACCUAAACAUUAGCCGGUAGCCACAAUUUACGGUUGGAGAUGGAUGAACAUUAAGUUGGAGGUAUACAUUCUGAUCAAAUCAACUAGUUAGAAUAACCAGUGAUUGUUGCUACAAAUCAUGUAAGUGAUGUUUAGUGCAAGUCCUAAAGAAAGUAAGCUGUAAGCUUACAGGAACAUAAAUUGAUACAUACUAUUGAGGUGCUGUGUACAUAUAACAGAACCUUUUAUUACCUUUUCUUUUUCUUCCUUCACCUUCUCAGGAUCUUUUUCAUCAAUCCAUGUUUGCAUCUUAAUUGUUUUCUUGUUUUGAGAAUUAACAAGAGCAGUUAAUGAGCGAUGGGAUCUUGAGGACAGUGAAGAAGGCAUACAUCUCAUCUUCUGUAAAAGCCUUCCUUGUGAUUGCAUAAGCCCCUGAGGAAGAAGUCGGUUGUGAAUUAUGAACAUGAUUGAUCACAGUGAUGAGAUUAUAUAAAAGUGCAUAGAUGAAAUAAUUGCCUUUCCAUUCCUCAGAAACAGGUGGGAAUUAUCAUGAUUUGACUCAUUUACAGACAUAUCAAGAACUUCAUUGCCGAUCAGCAGUUGCAUACUUCCAUCUUUCCACUUUACAAAACGUGCAUUGCUUUCAUACUGCAAGAAAUAAAUGCUUAAAAACUCAACAAUGAUUGAGAAGAAUAACAGUCAUGAGCCAUUACAGCUUAUACAGAGCAUCAAUGAGAUGCAAGAGCACUGAUAUCUUAAUUCUCACAUACAAACUUGAAUGAUACUAGAACAUAAAAUCUGACAGCUUGCAAUGCCUAAGAAAAGUCAUAAAAUUGUUUUCUCCUAAGAUAUAAAUCCCAUAGUAAAAACGAUAAAAAAUGUCAUAGUGAUAGAGUGCAGAGAACAGUGGGUGCAAUCCACUAGCCACUUUAAUGAGUUAGACAGCUCCCAAAGAAAGUGAAAGUGUUUAUAAGGAAGAAGAAACUCCAAAACAUUACAUAAAUAAUAUGACAAGAAAAUUUGACUCACAGAUUCAGUGCCAUCAUCAUUCUUAGAAAUUCUCCAGCGGACAACAUUAUCCUUCAACUGUAUCUUUUUCCUUCCCCCAGAUUCAUCUGUCAUGGAAGCAUCCUCUUCCACAUAUGUUUCAGGAUCAAAAGGUUUUGGAUUUACCCCCAUAAUAUUUGAAACCUUGAUCACAUUCAUCUAGAAAAAUGAAACCAGUCAGACACAGAAAUCUAAUUGUGCAAUGCGCCAAAAAAAACCACAUGAGCUCAUAGAACAGGUAUUAUUGCUAAUUAUGAGAAACUUUGGAGUUAUGACAGAGAACUAUAAGAUUACAUUUGUUCAAACAUUAUUGUUUCAGAAGCGAGAAGCAUGGAAUCAAUUUUUUUUAUCCUUGGUCAACAACAGAACUACUCCCUACGUUUUUGAAUAAUCGACACUCUUGAACAAGACAUGCAUACCAAGGAAACUGUGUUUUUAAUCUAAAGUGAUCAGAAUACUACCUCAGUAGUAUCUCACACAUGAAUUUAGGUGGAAAAGAAAAGGGCAUGCAUUGAGGUUAAUGGAAAAAAAAAGGUCUUGGGAAGCAUGGAGUGCCAAGUAUUUGAAACCAAGAAGAUUGUUCUAUAGAGCCAAUUGUUCGAUAAUGGAGGGAGUAUCUUCAUAGAUAUGCAUUGAUUGGACACAAAUAUGGGACAGUAAUGUAGUUAGAAAUGCUAAGCCUGGUAGCAAAAUACUUGGUGAAAGAUAUAGUUUACUGCUAAGUGUGUCCUAAUAUUACAGAAACUCACUCUAUCAGGUUGACCAGGUGGCAGCAUAUGUGGAACCACCAAGUUCAGCGGAGGACCAAGUGGCUUAUCUUUCAUUUGAUGUUCAAUAUUUCCUUCCAGUUCAUAAUGCUUAUCUUCAUGAAGCAUGCCCUCUGACUGCAAUUCCUCAUAGUGGCCUUCAUCAUUCAUAAGUGAUCCCUGCAAAGAUGCAGGAUUUGUUCCUACGUUAAGUGAUUCCCAAGGGCUUAAAACACAUAUGGAAACAGUGAAAUAAAUUUCCCUAAAAGAUUAGUACAAACAUAGAUAUACUGCCUAUUCAUGCGAAGAAUAAUCAUGCAGAAAAAGAAGUGCCAGACCAGAUAAAACAACUCUAUUUACCAGAAACAAGAAUAGUGCUUCCUCUAUUAAAAAAUGAUGAGGAUGGCUGACAUCAAACCUUUAAAACUUCCACUACAAAUAUCUCGUUGGAUUUUCUUUUAGAUCACAUAAUUAAAUCAUUUGAUACAUCAAGGCUUUUCUUGAAAAAUGCUUAGCAGCCAAAUUUGUUGUUUCUCAAUACUGUGCAAUGUUAAAAGGGUGACCUGUUUGUCACUGGAUGGUGUAAUACUCCUCUCUCGUUUUUAAAUUAUAUGCCAAGGCACAUGGAACCGGUGAUUAGGAGAACAUGUAUUGCUGACACUCCAAUAUCAUCUCAAUACACAUAAAAAUAAACAAAAACUGACAUAAAUAGAGCAAAACGUUACACACAGAAUAGAUAAGUUAAGAAGUUAAUUCAUUUGUUGUCUCACAUGAGCAUCUUCAUUGUCAUCUUGAGCACCAUAUGGAGCAAACUCAUCUUCAUCAUCAUUACCAAAAACAUUAUGGACAACUUCAUGGUCUUUGUAAUCCUCUAUUGACCUGAAGCAGGAUUAGAUGUCAGGUGUUACUGCACUACAGCAAAGGUUGGGAAGGAUGAAAAGUCAAGACACUGGAUAAAAUAGGUGAAUUCUGUUGUCAGCAGAAGAUGAUUAUCACUCGAAUAAUCAACUCGAAAAUGACAGAUGCUAGCUUUCAUAUUAUAUUGCAUGAUACUCCAGUAGUCAUAAGACAUUAAGACCCUCAGAAUUAGAGGCAGCACACCUUAUUUCGUUGGUUACUGUUCUCUUGACAUGGUUUCCCUCUACAGUAGUCACGCCUUUUCUGUGACCUUGUGUACUCUGAUUGUCAAGUUCCGUUAUCAUGAGUAUCACCGUCAAUUUCCUGAGCCAUGCGACCUUGUGUACUCUGAUUGCCAAGUUCCGUAUCAUGAGCAUCACUCUCAAUUUCCUGAGCCAUGCCACCUGACCCUUGUCUUUCACCCUGCACUUCCUCCUAUACGAUUACAUAAGUGGUUCGCAUUACAAUACUGUAUUGCGGGCCAAAUACCAUGUUAACCAAAUGAAUACAGCACAUGAGGAUGAGGAAUAAGAUCAGUCAGAAACAUAACAUGGCAAGCAAUCAGAAUGACUAGCAGUGUAGCACCAUUAUCAACAAAAGCACAACAAAUCAACUCAGGGAGUGUCCUUUUGCAAAGUCCUCAGGUAAUCUGGGACACGGUGCCGGAAUUAACGCAGAACAUCAGCUUAGAAUUCCCUGCAAGUGGCACAUGCUCCAAAUGCCAAAGCUCCAACUCUGCUCAGAGUUUCAUAAUAUAAGCUCCCAGGAUAAUUAAUCACAGAUCUUAUGGUUUGAGAAUUAAUACAGCGUAAGCGUCAUGGGGUAGUACAUCAAUGAUACCCACAUCAAAAAAUCCAUAAACUAUCUAUAGAUGUUCCCUCGAGGAAACAGCAACCACUCUAGCGGUCUAGCCUCCAAAACCCAUUGACGGUGUCGUACUUAGAAAAAAACUUCACUACUUGAUGACGCGUCGAUAGUUUCAAUACAGUGUAAAAUUGUGCCCAAACGCAAGCAAAGCGCGACAACUAUACCGCAGCAAACCCAGCGAACAAAACCCCAAACCGCAAGCACAUUUCCGGAAAUUUCUAGAACACCUCAGAGGGCGGAGACCAUUUCCGUGCUCUAAGGCAUAAACCCUAAACCCCAAGCCAAGCAGUAAACAAGCCGAGAGGUCACGGGGCGGGAGGUUCAUGUUACCCAUUCGUCGCCGUCGUGGCCCUUGUCCAACUCGUGCUCGUCCUCCGCGGCCGCGGGGGGCGGGGAGAGGCGGUUCUGCUGCUGCUCCCCACCGCCCCCACCACCGGGACCGCGAUCACCGCCACUCGCACCGGUAUCGUCGUCGUCCGCCUGGUCCACCUCCUCCUCCACCACCUUCUCCUCGGACUCGUUCUCGUCGCCGAAGAUGUUCUGCAUCAUCUGGUUCCGCUUCUCGUCCACGUCCCCGCUCCCCGUGCCACAUCCGUCCGCCAUGACCCCCUCCCCCUCGUCCUCCCGCUGCCACCCUCCUUUCCGGCGCGAGGAAGCGAAGACCGCCGGAGCCGCGCUCGCUGGGGUUUCGGGUGGCUGCACACUGGCACCGGCACGACGGCGGGCGGAGCCCGGCGAGGUGGGUAGUAGUGUAGCAUUUAAAGUUGAGACCACCCGGAGUACGUGGCAGGCGGCAGCGUCGCGUAGCGGUAGGGGUGGGGCCACACUACCACGUUGUUACUGGCUGACGUGGCACACAGGUCAGACGUGGUUUCCUACGGCGGUGAUCGGUUUGCCACGAUCCGACUCUUCUGGUUACUUUUGGUCUAAGAUGGAUAAAAUAUCAUCUGAUUUUGAUAGUUACUUAUGGUAUAAAAGGUGAAAUUAACUGUUAGAAAACUUAAGAUCUCUACAUAAAUAUGGUGAUAAAUUUAAAUAUAUAAUUUUUUAAAAAUAUAUCAUUUUGAUAGUUCAAAAGUGCGUUAGCAAAAAUUAAGGAAUAAUUUAGGGUAAAAGGACGUAACAUUAGUUCUCUUUUUCUAGUUCAUUCCUUUUCCACCAAGGUGGAUCUAGGGUGAUUGUUUGUUUUCUUAAUAAAAAACCAAAUGGUAUAUUACAAACAAAAAAUAAUUUGUGAAUAAAAAUUUUAUAUAUGUAUUCUUAGCUUAUCUAAAACUAAAACCGGUAAAUAAAUCACGGUGAAAACCCUUAAAAUUAAUUUUAAAUUUAAGGUUAGAAAUUUAAAUUUUAGAUUAUAAGCAACACAAAGAUGAAAGGUGGACAUUUUCAGAAAUUAAGAAUGGUUGAUGUAUUGUUUCGAUAUGAAAUUCAAAUUGUAGGUAGCAAAGUUGGGAGUUUGAAUUCUACAGCUGAUGACAUAGGUGGAGCUAGAUCCUGGGCUGGUAUGGUGGUCGUCCUGCUGCGAAUAGAAACGACAAAAAACAAAAGUGAAAAUUAUCCAGUUUACGAUAAAUUAUUCAGUUCUAAGUUUACUUGAUACUAUAAAGAAAUAUAAAGAAACAUGAAAAAGGCAGAGCUCCUGCCGGUAGCUUUAAAAAAUACUAUAAAGAAAAAUACUAUAAAGAAACAUAUUAAGGCUUCAUUUGAAGAGUACAGUUCAUGUCUUUUCGCUUACCAAAUUCUGAAGUUGAUUUAAAGAUUUUUCUCAUCCUAAUUUAUCUUUUAGCAUUUACUUUUAAAUUACAAGAAUACAUAUAUAAAAAUUUUAUUCAUAAAUUAGUUUUUGUCUAUAGAUAUAUCAUUUGGUCAACCAAUACCCCUAUACAAAUUUCAUGGAAAUCAGCUCGCACAUGGAAAUACAAACGGAUAAUUCUUAUUCCCUCCAUUCUAUGUUAUAAAACUUCUUAUCUGGAUUUACAUGUAUGUUAAUAAAUCUAAACACAUACCAAUCAUACACAUUAAUAGAUGGGUGAAUCUAAGCAAACUAAAAAGGCUAGAGUACCACAUUCCAAUUGGGAGUUAAACAUUGAUCAGUUCAGUUCAGUUCCCGUACGAAACUAUGCACGAAGAAUUUUUACUACAUUCCAAUCGGGAGCAGAACAUUAAUCAUAGAUACAAUUGGGUGGUCCAACAAACAAGUUGGAGUUCCGAAUCAGUAAGGUUUUCUGCAAAGUGACUUAGCGUCACCAAUUUUGCUUUCAUACUUGUGCACCCGUACAAAUAUAUGGACAAGAAAAUUGAAUAAUUCACACUCCAGCUACCCGCUGGACAUACCAUUAUCAAGGUAAAAGAAAGAAGAAUAGAAAAAAACAAGUACAUCCUGAAUUAGUAGAUAUUGCUAUCAGCCGUAGUGCCUGUUUCAUUUAGUAAGCAUACUUUUCGCAAAAGGGCAUCACCAUGCUCCCACGCCUUGUCCCAGAAUAUACAAGAAUCAAGAUCUAUAAUCUCCUAGUAGGAGAAGGGGAUGGUAGUACGUGCUAUAGUUAAUAUGUUCCUGAACAGCCCGGCUUUACAACAUUGCACGGGCAGCGGAGGACAGGGGAGAACAGGGCUAUAAUUGUUAGUGACUGAGCAACUCUAGUUCAGAAGGCGACAACGAACGCUACCCAGCAAGUCCACUGGCACUUCAACAGCCUCAGCAUGCUUCCGGAUGGUUGAUCUGCAGGGGUUGGGUCUAGGAUUCGAGAUACCAUCCUCAUGCAAUCUAGAGUAUCUAUGCAACUUUAUAAAAUGAUGGAGAAUGGACCACCGCUCCAAGUCCCGUGUCUCAGAUGUCAAAUCUUGAAAUGUUGUUGCCCUCUCAGCUCUGGAAUACACAGAGAAGGCCUAUAAGCAAUUUUGGCAAGUGCGAGAGGUGUUGAAAACUAGAGGAUAUUAUGCAAUAAAUUGCCAAUGCAAUUUUGGAAUUAUCUAAAAGCGGGGCAAGGUCUACAGCUGGUCAAGAUGAAUGACAAGGUUGACAGUCAUUAUAAAAAAUUAUGUACCUUGAGAAGGACCUUUGCAGCUCAUCAAACCUCAUGGUGAAUGUUUCCAGAACUUCAGGUAUGAUUUUAUCUUUUUUAUUUCCAGAAGUGCCAGUUUGGUUCUGUAGCCUGGCCAAAUACCACAAGACUCGAGAUUAAUGCAAGAUGGGAGUAGUGCCAAAGCUUGAUGCAAGAGAUGCACAUCUGGUCAUGACUUAUAUAUAAUUCCUCAGUAAGAAAUUUGUCAUCUUGGACAUUGAUAUGGUAUCUAAAAUACAAUAUUAAUCAAAGAUCUCAAUUUAGACCCCGGCGAAAAGAUCUCAAUUUAGAGUAUAUUUGUAAACUCUAACAAAUAACCUUAUGGAAGCAUUUUUUGAGAUGAAUCUAAAGAUAUGGUUUCCACAAAUCCAUUCUAACUAUUAAAGAAGAUAAUGGAUCUCAAUUUAUCAAAGUUUGACCAAUGGUAUGUCCAAAACAACAGGCAUUCGUAACUGGAGGAAGUAACUAUAACCUGUUACGGUUCACUAAAAUUCCUUAGUCCUUACUUAUCUAGAUUUGUACGUAAAACUAACAUCUUCACUUGUACUCACUCGUUUCAUAAUGUAAGACUUUCUAACCUUGUCUAGAUUCAUAUGGAUGCUAAUGAAUCUAGACAUAUAUAUAAAUUAUAUACAUUCAUUAAUUAAUGAAUUUAGACAAGGCUAGAAAGUCUUACAAUAUAAAACGGAGGUAGUAGCUCUUAAGUUAAAACAGGGAUGAAAAAUUGAACAAAAACCUUACAUGAAGUUGUUUGCCUUGCUGAUAGAAGAUACAACUGGAUUAAAUGCAUCAGAAAGGGCCAGUUGAGAAGUGUGGUAUACGAUGGUUUCACCAGAAUUAAUAGCAUUUGCUGCAAGAAGUCUAUGUGGAAGAGCAGGAAGUAUGCACUGAAUCAGGCUAGUCGUCAGAGCAAGUCUUUUCUGAGCUCGAGACACAAAGGUGCUAUCUUUUGCCGUUGUAUUUUCAGCAUCUACCUGGUAUGGAUAAUAAGCUUGUCAGUCAAGUAAAACGAUGAAGCACAAUAGAAAGGGUUUUUAUACAGUUUGAAAGAAAAAGAUAUAUAACCUUUUCAACCAAUCUCCUGGUAGCAUGAGCCCAAUCCAAUUCAGGCGUUCUGCAGCGAGAAAUACAAUAGCCAUUAUUAGCCCGUCCAAAUUGCGUAUGUCGAGCCAAAAAGAAUUGCAUAGAUAUUAAUCAUACAUCAGCUAGAACAAAUAUAUGUCAACAAAAGCAAAUUCUACUAAAAUGCCAUGAUGCAUUAUUGGUUCUCUAAUUCAAAAUCAUCACCUUCUAUGAUGCAUCUUGCAACACCCAGACAUGACUUGUGCCUGCCACGAUAAAAGACUAGUUGAUCUUUUCCGCUUUUUUUCCGGUGAAACUAGCUUGCCAUCAAACUUGUUAGUUGGUAAACCACUGGAGUGUGAGGCUUUAUUCAGUGGGUGUAGGAUUCUUUUCUGAUUACCAACGAUCUGGCUAUAAUCAUUGCAUUGGUAUUCAGCAGUUGUACUACAAAUAUUCUCAGAAACAUUUUGUUCAAAAGAUUUAGGGGAAAUGAUGCCCUUCCUUUCUGAAUUAUCAAGCUCCAAGUAAUUCUGUGUGGAAUUGUAUGCUCCAAUUAGCUCGACCUUCUUAUGGUCUGUUCCUCUGAUAAAUGAUGAGUUGGGAUCAUUGGACAAGCUCGGAGAAGGUAGAACAUGAGUAGUAUGUGUCACAGGCAGCUCCAUUUGUGAAUGCGCAGUACGGUUUGAAGAACACACUCCAAGUGAGCUAUUUUCAGUCAUGUCACACCGUCCUUUCCAUACAUCAUUGGUUGCCACUCUUCCAUCAUGGCAUAUAUAUGUCCUUUUUAGACUAGAUUGGCCAUCCAAAAUAUUUGUGAACUCAAGAACAGGAUUAGCAACAUCAUCAAUCAAUUCAUACCUAGUACCACAAGAGGCAGUUUGUUGCUCAUGCUGUAAAGUAUGGUCAACCGUGAGCAAGUGAUCUUCACCACUUUCCCCCAGGCUAUUCAUUGAAUUGGGCCCACACAAAGGUAAAGAUGAAACAUAACUUGAUGUUGUUUCCUGUCGAGAUGCUGAAGUGCAAAAUAGACCAAUUACUUGAGAAGUAGAAUGAAAUUGUUGGUGGCAAUAAGAUCCAUUAUAUAUAGCUGACUCACGGGGCCCAGCUUGCAUAUAAGGAGCAGUAUUGUUGAAGCAUGAGACAGAAACACUUUCCUCUAAUUUAUCUUUUUUGUCAACGUCAACAAAACUUUCACUGCAGUUCAUUACAUUCAGUUUAUCAGAAAUCCAAAAAUACAAAAUACAGCUGUGCAUAAUUUUCAGAACAAUUCUAAUUCUAUGGAAGAAAGCCCACAGAUUUCAACUUUAAACUGGAAAAUGAAAUUGUGAGUUUAUCACAGCAAUGAUAUAAUGAGAUUGCAGAUUGGGUUUACCUUUUCUGGAAUAUUUCAUAUGUUUGUGAAAAAGCAUCACUUGGUGCACUAAAUGAAUUUAGAAGUGAAUCAAUUUCCAUUUGCUCUUCAGAUUCAUACAGGCCAUGUAGCUUUUCCUUGCCACUACCGUCAGAUCCAUUUAUAUUGAUUACAGAUGAAUUAAACUGUCCACGCAAUACUUUAUUCUGCCUAUGCUGGGUAGUCGGCAUCAAACCAGAAGAUUGUUCAUUACCAGGAUAUGUUCCCCAUUCAGCAGAAUGCAUUUUAUCUCGAUGUUGACAACUAUGGCUUCUUGUUGCCACUUUAUCUUGGGACACUCUGAGCUUAGAAGAGGGAUUGUCUUGCUCAAUAUUAUUCAUAUCAUGUGGUAGGUCAACAAAAUUUUGUAAAUUACUAACAGUGCUGGAACUUGUGAAUGUGGCAUCAGCAUCUCCAGGGAAGGGCAAAAAAUUUGAGGUAAACGAUGGACUUGUUAAACAGCCAUUGUCCCAGAUAACUUGAUUUUGCAAGGUAUUCCCACCUGAGAACUCUGUAUUACUGAAAGUCAAGUCGCUGCAAUCUUCAUUGAGUCCAUUAUUACUAUUAGACACUUCUAAAGAUUCUUGCAUAAGAGCAGUCCAACUACAGUCCCUUGUAUCUGAAAUGUGGUUAUUUCUUUGCAAAGGGCUAAUAUAUGGAUAACUUGCAGGUAUGGUGCUACAGCUACUUCCAUAUGAGAUUGUCCUAUCGUCGUAACCAUCAGUAUCAUAUGAAGUUAUUUCUUCCACAUGAUCAAGACAGGACGCAUUAGAAGGAAUGCUGCGGUGGGUGAUGUCUAGGUUAUCAUUUUGCAUCUGCAUUCCUUCAAAUUGUCCAGGCCGUAGAGUACUAAAAAAGUGGUCAAAUUGAUGACAUUCUCCCAAUGCAGCAGAAGCACUAUUCAGAAUAAACUCAGGGGUUGCUGCUGAAAAGGUUUUUUCUCCAAAGAUCGGUCCAGAAACUGAAUAUCCAUGUUGUAAAGCUCGGUUUGAGAAUUCAUAAUUAUCAUCUUGUUGAAAACCAGAUGUACUGCAGUUGACUGACAAAUCUUUUAUACCAGAUUCAUUUACUUUUGCCAACAUUUCGGCACACGCACUAUACCAGGGAUGCAAUAACAAAUUCGCUGGUCCCCUGAAACUUGAAACAGUAGUGUUCUUAAUUUUACAGCAUGCUACAGUACUGAUAAAGCUGUCAUAGCCCCAAAAAUGCUAGUGGGUAUUGAGUAGGGCUUACAGUCCUAACAAGUAAGAUCAUGCUUUGAUCAUUUAAAUAUCUAACUGCGUGCAAUAAGGCGUGCCAUAGACAGCCUAAUCAUUGUAAGCAUUUUUUGAUUGAUCAUGUUCUUUUUUCUCUUCUAACAACUAGCCAAUGAACAUUUAUGGCGUGGAAGCCCAACUGUUAAUGGUAUUAUUAUUGUAUCUUGGAGCCUAAAGCGUGUUAUGACUCUGUCCCACAAAGACUUCACUUCUAGCGUUCAGAAUUUGUCCCGGAAAGACUUCAUCUCUAGGGUUUACAAAUCACAACCAAUCAAGCUAAGGCAUGCACACUUUAUUGGAGUCUAGGAAAUAAAACCAAGAGUAUUAGUGAGAGGCACCAUAGUGGCAUGCACAUUUGAUUGGAGUCUACGAAAUACUCCCUGUGUACUAAUAAAAAAUAAAUUUCUGAGGAUGAAUAUGGAAUUUAUCCUUAGAAUUUCAUUUUUUUUCUGGGAUGGAGGGAGUACAACCACGAGUAUUAGUGAGGGGAACCAUAGUUAUAUCUUUUGCCGGGUUGGCCGAGAAAACAGCCAACCAAAUUUCAUUAAGAUCGAAAAGGGAAUGUACAAGCAUACUUAUAUCUUCCCACUACUAAUUUGUCUAAGAAUUGUUAGAAACGAAACCUUUAUGGGAUGAGGUACAUCUUAAUUUAAGGGAGAACAAAUGAGGACGCACAGCUAUUUGACACCCUUAAAAGAGUGAUAAAUAUUCGGUAUUCCCUUCAAUUUAUUACCAUUUGAAUAAACUGCUUGACUUGUGUACCAUAGCAGACGCCCAUGGGCACCAAGGCACAUCUCUUCAAAUCACAUGCAUUACAUGCCAUGUAUAUCUUAAUGGCAUUGUUUGGACCAACUAAAAUCACAUUGAACCACUAAAUUAUAGAAUGUACAGUAAAUUGUAAGCUACCAUUCAGCAUCUUAACAAGGCAAUGCUACCGACAGUCCUACAAAAAUAAUGGCUCCCGAUCAUGAAUUAUUGCCAGUGAACCUUCACGCAGCCAGUUAGCUAGCAACAGGAAAUAAAGAGAUUUUAAGUGACAUCUCAAAGCUACUACAGUACUACCAGAACUGAACUGAAGGCAGCACGACCAUGCAACAGUUAAUGCCUUAUGUUGAAACUUAAAACCCCCAAAACCCCAAGCUCAAUAUGAAUCCAAUUAAACCCCCAAAACUACUUGAGCUGAUCAUAAAUACAGGCACACCCAGUGCAAUUAGCAGCUUAGCACUAGAAAACCUACUUAAAUUUCAGAGCGCAGCCUAACAGCUCAAACAGCCAGAAAGGCUAAGCUCCCGAAACAAGCGUGCGAGCCAGCCAAUCACAGGGCGCAUACCGGAUACGCGGCGGCGGAGGCGACGAGGCACGGCGCCCGGUGCUACUCCGAGCUCCCCCGCGAUCCCUCCGCGCCGCGGCAAGCUCAGUGAGUUAGGGUUUUUGGAGGUGGCGAGCGAGAGCAAGCGAGAGAGGAGUGGACGAGUAGGCGACAAAAGAAAAAGAAAAAAAGCAGCAGCAGCAGCAGCAGCAGAGGGGACGGAGGCGACGAGACGACCCGGUGUGAACUCGUGCGCCGCUUUGACUUUUCAGUGCUCGGGCCGAAGCGGUGGGCCCAGCCCGUGGGCCCGUGGGCCGGCCCAAGCCGAUUAACUAUAAAAUUAUUAGAGAUUUUUUUUCCCCCAUCCUUCGGUUUCUGGAGAUCCUCGCUUUUUUUUCGAAUCGGGGAGGGGAGAGAGAGGAGAGAUGAAGGAGGCGGCCUCGUCGGGGGGCGGGAGCGCCGGGGGAAGCGACCCGCGGAUGGCGUCGACGGCGAGGCCGUACACGCCGCCGAAGCUGUCGCCGCAGGACCUGCCCAUCGACUACGCGGGGUUCCUCGCCGUCGUCUUCGGCGUCGUCGGCGUCAUGCUCCGGGUACGCAUCGAUCCCGUCUAAGCGUAACACCGUGCGCCAGGUAGAUCUGCGCGAGAGGCUGCUAGAUCCGUGUGUCCCGCCCUUUGUGAGUUUUGUGGUUGCCAAGUAAUCGGCGGUGAUGGUGUUCUGCUGUGUUGUUUUAGUAGGUCUGGGGCUGCUAUUUGGCUCAGUUGUUGUUGGAUUUGGUUAAAAUUAGCUUGCUACUACUUGUUUGCAGUACAAGGUGUGCUCAUGGAUCGCGAUCAUCUUCUGUGCACAGUCUCUGGCGAACAUGAAGAACUUCGAGAAUGAUCUCAAGCAGUUGUCCAUGGCUUUCAUGUGAGUUCCUUUCACAGAUUUGGGUUUAUGCACUAAAUUAGGGGUUUAGCCACCAAGUAAUAAAUAUCAAAUACUACUCGAAUUUCAAAUCUAGGGAAACGUGAAGCCGAGUUUGUUUUUUCAGUAUGCUAAUUGAUAGUCUGUAUUCGACUAGAGUCUAGAAGUGAACCAGAAUAUGUAUAGUCAAUAACUUAAUUAGUACUUGUAUGCGCUCCGGUUUCUCAUCAUAUGAUGUUUAUGUUUGUUCAUUUUGCCAAAUUUAAAAGUGGGCUGUCUUUGCAUUGUGAAGGAACAGUUAUCAACAUCCCACCAGUAGAUCCCCAAGUGGAAAUUAUGCACCCAUCUUGUAUUAUGAAGGCCGUUUCUAACUUCUGUUGUCAUCAGUCCAUAGAACUUACAAGAUUAUCCUGGGCUAGUGAUCUAAUGCUGUACAAUUAGCUAUGGUCAUUAUUUUCUCACUCUUUGUGCAUAAUUGGUCUGUCAUGGAGUUUGUAACGUUAGUUUGGUAAAAGCUAAAUAAGCAGUAGGAGCUACUUUUCAAACUUUGAAGGUUUUGCCUGUACUAAGAUUUGCUUAUUUGCUCUGUAAGUCCAUAGAAAAGCAUACUAUAGUUUCCUAGUCCAUGGUUGAUGAGAUACCAUUGCUUAUCAAGCAAUAAUUCAAAGGGUUAAGUCUGAUUUAACCCUCUCAGCUAUCGUAAAAGUAUGUUUUACCCCCUUAAUUCUAAUACCAGACACUGAACACCCUCCAACUGACAAACUACCCCCUUCUCUAAAUUGGGUGGUUUUCACUUACGUGAUGUCUAUGUGGCACCUACAUGACAGCUGACAGCACAAUCAGCUAAAAUAAAUGGUUUAUAAAGAUUCAUGGACCCACCUGUCAUUCUCCAUAGCAACCUUCUUCCUUCUCCCAUUCUUCUUUCUCUGUGUUCUCUUAUCUGUGUUCUUACAGGAACAAGAGCAACCAUGAACCAUCCAAACUGUGUGCGCCACCGCAGCAGUUGCAUAUGUAUGACUGGCACCUGACACAUGACACAUGACUGAUUGUUUCCCAAUCGAUCUCUCUGUUGAGCUGCUGCCUUAACAGUUGGAGCUACUGCUGCACACGGCAGGAGCUUGCUGGUUGUCCAGGCCCUACGAGGGAGGCCGAGGUUGAGGCAUUAGGGUCAUGGCAGAUCCAUGUGCCAUCAUUUCCAAGGUUGCAGGAGGAGAGGGGAGGAUAAGGUGAUAUAGGCUGACAGAUUGUUCUGUUUCCUGUUGGACACCACAUAAGCCGUAAAACCACAACCACAAUGCAUUGAGCAGGUGCGCGCGGGGGUGAGGGAGGGUAAUUUGUCUGGUUUAAAGGGUUGGGGAAUGUCUAUAGUUAAGUUUGGGGGGGGGGGGGGGGGGNNNNNNNNNNNNNNNNNNNNNNNNNCUUGUAUGGAGGGGGGGGGGGGGGGGGGGUAAAUCAGACUUAGGAUGACAUUUUUUCCCCGACAGUUCUUAAACCUUACCAACCUUCUUUUGGGACUUGUGUUCUUCUUUGUCACUGUUGAAAUAUUCUAACUCUUCAUUACUGCUGAAAUAAUCUAACUUUUGAAUUUGGCAUAGGUAUAAUUAUAGGUAAAAUACUGAUAUGCUUGGUUAAUUGGAGUUAAAAACGAAAUGCAUUAUUAAAACAACGAUAAAGGAAAGUAACUAUCAAAUUAACCAGAUAUAUCUAUAAUAAGGGGCCUAUACCACCUUUCCUUGUUUGCCACUGUAACUUUUGUUUCAACUAUAUUUUUCUCAGUGGUAUCUUUUCAGAAAGAGAUCACCAUCUACUAGACUGCUCAUCUCAAAAUAAAAUCUCUAAUACUCUAACAUGAUCAUGUUAUGUCAUGUUUUAUUGAACAAAUUGCAUUAGCAGAAGUAUUACCUAUUUCUCCAAUGUCAUCCUAUGUCAACAAAAGAUUGAUCCUGUUUUUAUUAGCGAGGAACAAGAAGUUGUUAAGAAAAUAAACUUCCUCAUGGAUUUAAGUUGCCUUCUUCUGUCAACUAUUGGUCUUUGAUUUCCUUUUGAGUUAUCAAAUGCUUUAUUUAUUUAUGAAAGUUAGAAUGGUUAAUUCUCUAUGUCACCAGAUUUUUGACUAGAAGAAACUCACCAAGAAUGUGAUAUUGCCAGGUUUGCUGUUAUGGGUUUGGUGACGAACUAUCUUGGCCCACCUCGUCCAGGCAGUACAAAGCGCUAAUCUGGAUGCACGAUACGGAUUGUAUGAGAUAUCACUUGUAUUUUGAAGCUCCAGAGGUUAUUGGCAGCUUACAUCUCUGAAUUUUAUCUGAGCAUGCAUCAAUUAUACUUACUCAAAUCAUUAGAGGACAUGAAUAUAUAUGAUGCUCGAUAAUUUAAUUUUGCGGUACUAGUUCUUCUGGGUGUUAUUUUCUUCUAGAUUUCUCUCUCUCUCUCUCUCUCUCUCUCUCACACACACACAUUUUAGAGCGAUGUCUACAUCAAGCAAAUUGAUCGGUGCUCCUUGAGCUCUGGAUUUUAUUUCUGUUUUGUUUUACUGGAUGAACAGUCACUUUCUAAAGCAUGUAUGCUCGAGAGUUGAGAAUAAAGUGCUGCAUGUAGUGACAACCAGCUUCUGAUUGAUUUGUUGGUUUUUUUAAAAAAAAAUGUUCAAGUAUCGGUUGUACUUCGUCCACAAAUAUGAGUAUUUCUAUCAUUUGUAAUUUAUCCACAAAUAGGGCCUUUUACAGCCUCAUCUUUCUCUUCUGCCUUAAGUUUGCAGUUGAGUUUGAGAUUUAUUUCAUCGUAGUUUAUUUUCAGUUUUUUCUUUUAGAUCACUAAAAACACAUAUAUAAAAAAUUUAUUCAUAUAUUAGUUUUUUUUACAAAUAUGUCAUUUUUUUUUUCAAAAAAAAAAAAAACCCCCCCCCCCCCCCCCCCCACACACACACACAACAAAUAUUAACUUCUCUUUCCAUUUUAACCACAACCACCCUUCAUUUGACGGGGGAUAUCAAUAAUUUUUGCCUCCAUCCUUUCUCUCUCUAAAAAAAUAUCUUAAAAUGCUUGUAUUUAUGUAUGGAGGGAAUGGGAUCUUAUCCAUAAUUCAUUGAGAGGCAUCACCAAAUUUAAAAAAAGAAAUAAUGAUAAGAUCACAAGAUAUGACUGCGAAUUGACAUUUGUGGUGCCUGUCUUUCUUCUUUCCUUCUUCAGUUUCUUGGUAGGAAGUUGAUCAGGGCAUUCACAAUUAACGAAUAAAGUGAUCCUUAUAGUUUUUCAUGGCUUGGUUCACUGUUGUGGAAGUGGUUCAUAGCGACAUAUAGUAUAUCAUAAGAUCAGCUAUUUAUAUUCAUUUGUGAUGGUCAUAUAGGAUAAAAUUUAUUAUAUCUUCUUUUUUGUUUCUACUCCUAAAAUAAAUGUUCACUUUAAUUAAAAGGAUUCUCACAAAAUAAAUGAUACUCUGGAUCUUGUAAUGCCAAAAUAAUUGGAGAAUGCACAUUUAUUGCACCUGUUAGAAAGUACUAUCAACAUAUCUGUCCAUUAUAAAAGAGCUAAUAAUUAAGGGUAUGAAAGUAAUUUUACUUGAUGACUAAUUUAUUUAAUAUUGAUCAAAAUAGUAACAUAUUUUUUGAAAGGAGGAAGCAGUCAAUUUUUGUCCAACCAUGUGAUGUGAGGCAGGUCACAUCUUAAAAAUCUGCAUUUCGUGGAGUUUACAAAAAUAUAAAAACAUAGUAGAGUUUGCAGUAACAAAAAUCCACAGUUACCAGCCCAACAUUCAAAGACUCGACAAAGCUCUUGUAGACCAAGAUUGAAUGCACUAUUGUCGUUCCCGAGUUUUUCCAAACGACAGUUGCGUGCCAACAGGCCAACAGUGAACCCCGUGAUCGCAACCCGUUUGUUCAGCAUUCGAAGAACCUCUCGCUUCUCAGUCUGCCGUUCUGACGAGUGACGAGAGGGCGUUUUCGUGGAUGGAAUUUGUCAAUAGUCCUUGAUGACUGAAUGGUCUGGUCUUUGAAUUACGGGGCAGUUUUUGCUGGGAAAUUUAUAAUCAUGUUAUUAUGAUUAUGUAAAGUUAAAAAUAUGUUAUUGAUAUCUCGGUACAUUGCCACAGACUUCGAAAUUUGUGAUCCUUUUGAACCCAACGCUUAAUUUUGUAGGCUAAAACUUAGGCUCAUUAUCAACCUUAAAUAACUAAAUCCCAAAAUAAAAGUAUUUUUGGAACUAAUCAUGUGAAUUAAGAAAGAUGUGGAAAUGAUAGAGUGGAGAUUAUGAUUGGUUGCGAAGAGAAUAUUGUAGAUGAACAAAUAAGAUAUAGAGUGAUUGUAAUUGGCUAAGAUGGGAGAGUUUAUGAAAAAGUAGCUUUAUUUUGGUACAGAGCUGAGUAGCAAAAUUAGCUUCAUCUUAGAAUGGAGGGGGUAGAAAUUAAAUGAGGUGGUCGGUGAAGAAAGUAGAUCCUAUUUGAAAGUAAGGAGGAUUUUGGAUUAACUAGUGCUACUUUUUUAUUGCUAUUGAAGAGUAUAUAAGCAAUGAAUUAACUAGUGCUCCCUCCAUUUCAUAUAGUAAAACGAUUUGCUAUGUCUACGUUCAUCUAUUGAUAAAUAUAUAUUAUUUGCAUAUAUCUAAAUACAUUGGCAUAUAUAUGAUUUUAGACAAUAAAGUCUUAUAUUAUGAAAUAGAGGUUGUAAAAUAUUAAAAUUAUUGCUUUAGAAAAAACAAAUGAGAAACUUUUAUAUAUAAACGUUUUGCACAAAAUACACCAUUUAUCUAUCACAUAGUAUAUCGACUGAUUUUACUCAUUCUAUGUCAAUCAUUUAUUAUUUUUUAAAUCCAGUGGCUAAAAUCAUCUUUGUAAGAUCAGAUGGUUAGGACGGACUCCGUCUCUCCUUAAGUAGAAUUUUAUAUAUUAGAGAUUUUCUAAAUUAGAAAUCAUUUUACUAAUUAUAGAGUUUUUCUAUGUUAAAAUUUAUAUUUCCAAUUAGAAACAAAACAAACACAGACUUCGUAUUAAGAUAAAGAUAUAAACCUUUUAAUUAUAAAAUUUAUAUAAAUAUGUAGUAUAUAUCUUUUGAAUCAAAGUCCAAUUACAACUUCGUGUGGCUGGAGUAGUAGCACAAGUCGAUGUAAAAUACCAAAACACCAGACUACGAAUCUUAUUAAAAAAAAUUAUUAGUCCUAACAGAAAAAAAAGACUAGGAGUCAUAUUAGGAAACCAAUAAUAUAAUCUAAAAGUUCUCAAAAAUAAUAUAAUCCAAAUAUACUAUAGAUUAUAAUUCAGAUCAUAUCACUGACGUAUUAGCAUGCACGGUGAGUCGUAAUAAUAGAUUAUUUCCAUUGUUUUUGACUAGGUAUUGUUGAUAAACACCGGACUGAACUUGUGGUUGCGCUGCUAAAAGGGUAGCCUUUGUCUUCUUUUUGAAGGGUAAACAUCGCUAGCAAUUUAUUUAUCUAAGUUUAAAAGUUUACAAUCUUCCUUAAGAAGAAGAGUUAAGAACUCAGGGGCAUCAGACACUCAAUUACAAUAAAACUUGUCAAUAAUUCCUUCCUUCGCUAGCCGAUGUACCAUGUUCGCCGAACGUCGCUUUCAGAUUGUUUUCACCCCUAGAAAGCCACCCAAACCGGCUUUUAUUUUCUGAAUUAGCACGUCCUAAAUCGAUCGAUUAAAUUCCUUUUGCAUCAACAUAUUCACCACUACUUGAGAAUCGGUUUCUAUUAUAACGUGGGUAACGCUCAUCUCCUUUGCUACUACAAUAGUCCUUUGGCAAGCCAGGACUUCCACCAUUGAGGCAUCAUUAACGUGUGUUACCCAGCGCGUUGCUACGGAAGAACUGUGUUAUAAUAUAGUAGAUAUAAAUUCUAAAAAAAAUUACCUUACCUACUAUACAUUUUUUUUUCAUGUGUUUAUAUAUUUUUGUACCUUUAUUAAUUAUCCAUAUGUUAUAAAUAGUUGGGUUGUAUGGUGUACUUUUGGGGAGCCCAAAAGGGAUAUAAUUUACACUCUUGAUAAAUCAUCUAAAGGAUAAAAACAACUGAGGUGAUGUGAAGAGGUGCAAUUUGUAUCCUUGAUGUAUCAUGCCAAGGCUAAAAACAAUUGAGAUGAUGUGGCUUAAUUUACACCUUUGAUGUAUCAUCUUAAGGCUAAAAACAAUUGAGGUUGUGUGUCUUAACUUACACUCUCGAUGUAUCAUUCUAAGGCUAAAAAUAAUUAAGAUAAUGCGGUUUAAUUUACACCUUUGUUAUAUCAUUCUAAGGUUAAGGUUAAAAUAAUUGAGGUGAUGUGGUUUUACGAUAGAAGAGAGAAUGCCAUGAACUUUAUAGAAAAUAGGGAUCUGGUUAAAAUUUUGUUUUAAGGCUGGUAACACAAGACUACAAAGAGCAAUUGCUGAUCUGCUGGUACCGUGAGAGAGUUUUAUCCAUUUGAGCAUGACUUUCUUCGGCUUCUGCCAUUCGACGCGCAAAUUUUCAGUCAUUAAUUUAGUUUUACUCCUAGAAUGAAAUGAAAUACUUACUCCAUAUUUUUUAUAUGACGCCGUUGACAUUUAGGUACACGUUUAACCAUUUUUCUUAUUAAAAAUUAUAUAAUUAUUAAUUAUUUUAUUAUAAUAUGAUUUAUUAUUAUAGAAACUUUAAUUAUGCAUUAUAGUUUUGUAUAUUUGGAUAUAAAUUUUGAAUAAGACGAAUGGUUAAACGUAAUUUUAAAAGUCAACGGUGUACACAAAAAUAUAUAGAGGGAGUAAUAGAUAUAGGGUGAGCAACAAAUUAAACAUGGCCCUCGUAAAACGAUGAUAAGCUUAUUAAUAUUGAAUGCUUGAAGAUUAGAUUGUAGCAACUAAUUAAGUAAUACUCCCUCCAGUUUCAAGGGGUCCUAUUUUCGAUCUUUCGAAAAAAAAAAUCGAACAUUUACUUAUAAACGGUAAUAUAUGAAUCAAAUUUUUAUACAUGUGUUCUUAGUGUUUUUAAGCAAAUACCAAAAAAAAAACGAUGAAAAAUGACGGAGCCAAAGAUAACUAUCAUUUCGGACCUCAACUUUGAUUAUAAAUAACUUUUACAAUAUUUUUUUUGCUGGUAUCUCACGAACACGAGCGAACAUUUGCAGGAUGGCCGGAGCGGCAAGAGACGCUGCAACUGGCGCCGGGGAUGGCGCCGCUGCACACGUCGCUGCUGUCGUGGAACAACGCCGUCGUGCCGGAGGGGCAGCACAUCAUCUUCAACCUUCUGUGCCGGAACAACAAGCUCAACGACGACAUCGCCGAGAUAACCGUGUGCAACUCCUUCCACAAGGCCGAGGCUGGUGUGUUCAAGCUCUUCCCGGACCUCCUCCCUUUCGACCCACUCGUCGCCGACCAAGAGCUCCGGUGGCCCGUGGGCCACUUCUUGCCGGAGGACAUGCGGUGCCUGGAGUGGCUCGACGCGCAGCAGGGCGGCUCCGUCGUGUACGUGGCCUUCGGCAGCAUGGCCAUCUUCGACGCACGUUAGUUCCAGGAGCUCGCCGAGGGGCUGGAGCUCACCGGCCGACCAUUCCUGUGGGUGGUCCGGCCGGACUUCACCCCGGGCCGGAGCAAGCCGUGGCCGGAUGACUUCCGGUGCCGUGUCGCAAGCACCGGCAGGGGCAUGAUCGUCACCUGGAGCUCCCAGCAGCGCGUCCUAGCGCACCAGGUCGCGGCAUGCUUCGUCUCGCACUGCGGCUAGAACUCGACGCUGGAGGGGGUGCGCAACGGCGUGCCAUUCCUGUGCUGGCCCUACUUCUGCGACCAGUUCCUCAACCGGAGCUACGUCACCGCCGUGUGGCGCACCGGGCUGGCGGUGUCGCCCAGCGAGGACGGCGUUGUGACGAAGGAGGAGGUAUGGAGCAAGGUGGAGCAGGUCGUAAGCGACGCCGAGAUCAGGGAGAGGGCGCGACUGCUCAGGGACAUGGCGCGCGCGCGUCACAGAGGGCGGCUCGUCGCACGAGAAUUUCAGAAAAUUUAUCGACCUCCUCAGUGAAUGAAAGAUAAUACUCCCUUCAUAUUUUUUUAAUAUGACACCAUUGACUUUUAGGUCUAUGUUUAACCAUUCAUCUUAUUCAAAAAAUUAUAAUUAUUAAUUAUUUUAUUAUAAUAUGAUUUAUUAUUAUAGAAACUUUAAGUAUGCAUUAUAAUUUUGUAUAUUUGAAUAUAAAUUUUGAAUAAGACGAAUGGUCAAACGUAAUCCUAAAAGUUAACGGUGUCAUACAUAAAAAUAUGGAGAGAGUAUUUCCACAAGCUGUCACAAAAAUAACAAAUUUUCAUCGUCGCACAAGACCCAUUGAAAUGCAUGCACUGAAAGAAAAGGUAUUUUCAUCGAUCAUUUACAUAGCUAUGUAUUUAUAUCAGCUAAAUAAUUAUUAAAAAAAGAUAAGAUAGAUUAAUAUGUUAUAUAUCUACUACUACUAUAAAAAAGAGUAGUGGUAAUGGUGGUGGGUGGUGGUGAAUCUACCAUCUACCCCACCACCAACUCACUUCUAUUUUUUAAAAGAAAAAAAGUUGAGACCUAUAUGUUAAACUAAUUUUAUUAACUAUAUUUUAAUAAAAUGCUAAUGAUAUUUUUUAAUAAGAUCCCGUUGCAACGCAUGGGUAAUAGGCUAGUUAUUCCAUAAACUUGCAAGUUCAAAUUCGAUCUUUAUAAGUUGUAACAAAUUUAAAUAUGAAUGUAUAUAUACUAGUUUUGGUUUAAUUUGUUAUUUUUGUCAUAGCUUGUGGAAAUCAAAUUUGGACUUGCAUGUUUAUAGAGUGGUGUAUGCCAUACUAAUAUAUAUUACUAAUUUUUUAAAUAAAUAAAUAAUUAAUUAAUUAUUUAGAUGAUAUACAAGAAAUAAGUGGAUAUCUAGAUACGAAAAUCCAUCUCCACAUCCAAAUCAUACUGCAGUCUUUACUAUACGCUGAAUGAUAUCGAGUCCAAACUUGCCUGCAUAAGUGUAUCCAUUUUGGUGUCAAAUUAAAUUCAACUCAUCUUACCAUAAAAAGAUUGUCAUCCGUAGAUUUGGACCUUGUGAAGUCCUAUUUUGUAAUGGAGGAUUUUGAAUGAAAUAGAACUGGAUCCUGUGAAAACCUUCUAAAGUUUGUCGGUUUUGAAGGAGCACGUAGAUGAUUCUCUUAUAUUUAGGCAUCAUUUCGAACGGAGUAAUUUCAAAAACUAAGUUCUAAAAAAAAUCUGUAUUCCAUCCUACCCGAAAAAAAAAACCAAACAUGAGCUAAGAUUAGGCACCGUAAAUUAGUAAAACCAGAAAUUCUUCAACCGAAGAGGGGAUAUUAGUUAUGGAGGCCAUGGUCAAUGUAUUUACAAACUAAAAAUAAUUUAUAAAUAAUUUUAUAUAUAUUGAUUUAAAAAUUAAGACUGAAAAAUAAAACUUAAAAAACCUAAAAUCAAUUGUAAAUUUAAUAUUAUAAAUUUUAAUUUUAAUAUUUAUUGAUAAAUAGAAACGAAAAGAUAAGUCAGUACAUACGGCUUAUCUCAUCCUGUCGCACUCCAUUCCACGAGGCUAUAAACUGCCAAUGCAGUUGACAGCCUCUCGCCACACUCUCUUGCGGCGUCCACAGAUACCCAGAUAGUUGCAUCACAAGGUAGAACUCAGAGAGAUCUCAUGGCGGCCAAGGGUCACGUCCUCGUGCUGCCCAUGCCGUGCCAGGGGCACGUCACCCCGCUCAUGGAGCUCUCGCACCGCCUCGCCGACGAGGGCUUCGAGGUCACCUUCGUCAACACGGAGGUAGACCACGCGCUGGUGCUCGGGGCGCUGCCGGCGGGCGGCGCGGCGGAGCUCCGGGAGCGCGGGAUCCACCUGGCCUUCAUCCCGGACGGCCUCGCCGACGGCGAGGACCGCAAGGACAUCAACAAGCUCGUCGACGCCUACUCGCGCCACAUGCCGGGCCACCUGGAGCGGCUCAUCCGCGGGGCCCCCCCCCCCCCCCCGGGGGCCCCCCCCCCCCGCCUCGCCGACGAGGGCUUCGAGGUCACCUUCGUCAACACGGAGGUAGACCACGCGCUGGUGCUCGGGGCGCUGCCGGCGGGCGGCGCGGCGGAGCUCCGGGAGCGCGGGAUCCACCUGGCCUUCAUCCCGGACGGCCUCGCCGACGGCGAGGACCGCAAGGACAUCAACAAGCUCGUCGACGCCUACUCGCGCCACAUGCCGGGCCACCUGGAGCGGCUCAUCCGCGACAUGGAGGCCGCCGGCGGGAGGCCCAAGGUGCGGUGGCUCGUCGGCGACGUCAACAUGGGGUGGUCGUUCGUCGUCGCCAGGAAGCUCGGCAUCCGCGUCGCCUCGUUCUGGCCGGCGGCCGCGGCGUGCCUCGCCAUCAUGCUCAAGAUCCCCAAGCUGGUCGAGGACGGCGUCCUUAACAACAAGGGUUUGUAAAUUUUAAUCCCAACUUGGUUUUGCUUUAUUGAUAUCGCCAUGGACGGUGAGUCGUAAAAUAGAUUCUUUCCAUUGUUUUUGACUUGGUAUUGUUGACUAAACACUGGACUAAACUUGUCAUUGCCCAGCUAAAAGGGUAGCCUUUGUCAAUACAAUCUGGUUAAAAUUUUGCUUUAAGGCGCUAACACAAGACUACAAAGAGCAAUUGCUGGACUGCUGGUGCCGUAAGAGAGUUUUAUCCAUUUGAGCAUGACUUUUCUUCGGUCUCUGCCAUUCGAAGCGCAAAUUUUCACAAUCAUUAGUUUAGUUUUACUGCUAGAAUGAAAUAAAAUAAUAGAUAUAGGGUGAGCAACAAAUUAAACCCAACCCUCCCGAAACGAUCAUAAGCUUAUUAAUAUUUAAUGCUUGAAGGUUAGAUUGUAGCAUCUGAUUAAGUAAUAUUCCCUCCGGUUUCAAGGGGGUUAUAUUUUCGAUAUUUCGUGAAAAAACCAAACGAUAUAUUUACUUAUAAAUAAUAAUUUAUGAAUAAAUUUUAUACAUAGGUUCUUAGCAAUUUAAAAGCAAAUAAAAAAUAAAUAUUAUGAAGAAAAUCUUAAAAUAAAUUCUAAAUUUAUGUUUGAAAAUUUCAAUUUUAACUUAUAACUAUAAACGUAAGUGAAACGAUGGAGCCAAAUAUAACUAUCAUUUCAGACCAUGCUAGAGUAAACUUUGGUUAUAAAUAACUUUAUAAUAUUUCUGUUGCUUAUAUCUCACAAACACGCGCGAACAUUUGCAGGAUGGCCAGAGCGGCAAGAGACGUUGCAGUUGGCGCCGGGGAUGCCGCCGCUGCACACGUCGCUGCUAUCGUGGAACAACGCCGGCGCGCCGGAAGGGCAACACAUCAUCUUCGACCUUGUGUGCCGGAACAACAAGCUCAACGACAUCGCGGAGAUAACCGUGUGCAACUCCUUCCACGAGGCCGAGGCCGGCGUGUUCAAGCUCUUCCCGGACCUCCUCCCCAUCGGCCCGCUCGUUGCUGACCAAGAGCUCCAGCGGCCCGUGGGCCACUUCUUGCCGGAGGACACUGGGUGCCUGGAGUGGCUCGAUGCGCAGACGGGCGGCUCCGUCGUGUACGUGGCCUUCGGUAGCAUGGCCAUCUUCGACGCGCGUCAGUUCCAGGAGCUCGCCGAGGGGUUGGAGCUCACCGGCCGGCCGUUCUUGUGGGUGGUCCGACCAGACUUCACCCCGGGCCUGAGCAAGCUGUGGUUGGACAGCUUUCGGCUCCGCCUCGCCAGCACCGGCAAGGGCAUGAUCGUCACCUGGUGCUCCCAGCAGCGUGUCCUAGCGCACUCGGCCGUGGCAUGCUUCGUCUCGCACUGUGGCUGGAACUCGACGCUGGAGGGGGUGCGCAACGGCGUGCCGUUCCUGUGCUGGCCCUACUUCUGCGACCAGUUCCUCGACCAGAACUACGUCACUGCUGUGUGGCGCACAGGGCUGGCGGUGUCGCCUGACGAGGACGGCGUCGUGACGAAGGAGGAGGUGAGGAGCAAGGUGGAGCAGGUCGUGGGCGACACCGAGAUCAGGGAGAGGGCGCAACUGCUCAGGGACACGGCGCGCACGUGCGUCACACGGGGCGGCUCGUCGCACAAGAAUUUCAAGAAAUUUAUCGACCUCCUCAGUGAAUGAUGACCUAUUGAAAUGCAUGCAUAGAAAGAAAAAGUAUUUUCAUCGAUCUGUUGUGUGUCCAUGUUUUUUUAUGUCAGCUAAAUAAUUAUUUAAAAUAAAAAAUAGGAUGUAUUAAUAUGCUAUAUAUUAUCACAUAAACAUGCAAGUUCAAAUUCGAUCUCUAUAAGAUGUAACAAAUUUAUAUGUAAACAUACUUAUACUUGUUUUGGUUCAAUUUAUACUUGGAAGUUGAAUUUAGACUUGCAUGUGUUAUAGAGUGAUAUAUAUCAUGUUAAUCCAUGUUAUGUUUUUUAUGAUUAUUUAGAUGAUAUACCAGAAAUAAGUGGAUAUCUAGAUAUGAAAAUCCAUCUCCGCAUCCGAAUCAUACUACAGUCUUUACUAUAGGUUGAAUGGGAUUUGGAUUCUCUACCAUUAUAUUAGUGUCAUUAUAGUUACUGACCUACAGUUACUGACCUAUAGGUCCUACGGAUGAUGGGACCUACACGUUAGUGAUUAUAAUGGCAGUGGCACGAUGGCAGAGGGUCUCAAUCCAGCGAAAUGAUAUUAAGUCCAAACUUGCCUGCAUGAGUGUAUUCAUUUUGGUGUCAAAUUAAAUUCGAAUCAUCUUACCAUACAAAAGAUUGUCAUCCGUAGAUCUGAACCUUUUGAAGUCCUCCUUUGUAAUAGAGGAUUUUGUAUGAAAUUCAACAUGAUCCUGCGAAAACCACCUUCUAAAGUUCGUUGGUUUCGACGUAGCACGUAGAGAAUUCUUUAUAUGUAUGCAUCAUUUAGAACGGAGUAAUUUCAAAAAUUAAAUCCUAAAAAAUCCUUAUUCCGUCCUAUAAGAAACAAACCAAACAUGAGCUAAGACUAGGCACAGUAAUAAAUUAGUAAAACCAGAAAUUUCUUUAACCGGAGAAGGGAUAUAAGUUAUGGGCUAGAAAUAUGGAUUUGUUUGGCCCGGUAGAGAAGUCUUGUCUUAUCUCUGCCGGUUGGGCUUAGUAAUAUGGGCCGGUUGCGAGGAGAGGCUCUGCAGCGGACUGGAAAAGAGAGGAGCGUGGCCUCGUUGGUUCGUUCGCUUGGUAAAUCAGAUUUUUUUUUUCGUUUUUCACACGAAUGUUUUUCAAACAUUAAACGAUGUGUUUUUAAAAUUUUUAUAUAAAUACUUUUUAUAACUAAUAAUUUAUUAAUUAAUUAUGUACUAAUUUAUUGCUGUGUUUUUCAUGCCAGAUAGCUACUCGCAAGUCACGACAUGUCGACUCUUCCAAACAAUUCAGACUCUCAGCUAGCGGAGAAUAAGUAGAUCCAGAAAAUACAUUAAAAUCAAGAGGUUUUAAAAAGUAUCUAUUUCAUAUCGUUAUACAGGCUAGUUGCUCCUAAAAACAUCCAGCUCCCUGUACAGGGCCAUGGACUGACUGAGACUUCUCGACGAAAUGCAGAACACGUAGGGACCUCGAGAAGCAAAACACUAUUUGAGUCCCUGAGUAAAAGUAGAUUUUGCGUCUGCUGAUGCCUUAAGUAAUGAUACUAUUGAAAUCUAUACAGUGUUCUUUCACAAUUUCGGAAUAUAUAUACACACUCUCUCUCAUUGAUUAGUAAGCCUCCAUGCACUUAUUCCUACUCCUAAGUACUAGCUUCCGUAGCCUCUCUUCACAGUCAAACUCAGAUUGCUCAAUUUCUUUUCUUGGCGAGCCUCCGCAUCAGAAGGAGCAUGUGGCGGGAGGCCGGCGAUUCUUCAAGAGCUCACCUGUACAAAUGGCUGCCGCUCAAAACAACACAUUUUCUUUACACCAAGUAGCCGCAGAAAAAAACCAAAGUAAAAGUACAUAAGGACAACAGGGUAGUACAAAAUAGAUGAUGCAUGGAUCACGAUCAGAUGGAACGACAACAAUUUGAUCGUCUUUGCUAGCUAAGCACAUCACAUCCCGAUCCACAUUCACUUAAUCUAUCCACCAAAAGGAACGGCAACUGACAGCUUUCUUGCGUAUAUCACAGAAUCACACCCUGCACGAGAUUGCUCUAGUCUUGCAGUUGCACCUGCACACUCACUCCACUGGCAUCCAUGGCUGCUCCUCAGCCUCAUGUCAUGGUCCUACCCUUCCCUGCACAGGGCCAUGUCAUGCCUCUCAUGGAGCUCUCUCACCGGCUCGUCGACCUCGGCUUCGAGGUCGACUUCGUGCACACCGACUUCAACCGCGACCGCGUCCUCAGGGCCAUGGCGGACGAGACGGGCGCGAUCCGGCCAGGGAUUCACAUGGUGUCCUUCCCGGACGGCAUGGGCCCUGCCGGCGACCGUGCCGACAUCGCCAAGCUGGCCGAUGGGCUGCCGGCCGCCAUGCGCGGCGGCAUCGAGGAGAUGAUCAGGUCGGAGGGGAUCAGGUGGGUGAUCGCCGACGUGUCCAUGGCCUGGGCGAUGGAGCUGGCUGCCACGGUGGGUGUCCAUGUCGCCUUGUUCUCGACCUUCUCCGCCGCCGUGGUGGCGCUCAGGAUGCACGUUCCCAAGCUACUUGAGGAUGGCAACCUGGACGAAAAUGGUAGGAACAAAUCAGCAAUCAUCCUUUUAGCAGAAAAGCAAAUCCUGAAUUGAUCAAUUGAAGCUGUGGUUGAUUAAGAUCAAGAACGUGUAACUAUUGCAGGGAAUGUGAAGAGGAACGAGAUGAUCCGGCUGAGCCCCACGAUGCCGCCCGUACGAGCAGGCGAGCUGCCCUGGGUCACCCUCAGCGGCACGCCGGAGGGGCGCAGGAUGGUCAUCCAGAACGUGUUCAAGACCAAUCCGGCGAUAUCAUCAGCCGAGGUCAUCAUCUGCAACACGUUCCAGGACAUCGAGCCUGGGGCGCUAGCCCUCGUCCCCAACGCGCUGCCCGUGGGCCCGCUGGAGGCGCCUGCGACGGCGAGGUCAACCGGCCAUUUCUGGCCGGAGGACCAGACGUGCCUGGCGUGGCUCGACGAGCAGGAAGCUCGCUCCGUCAUCUACGUGGCGUUCGGGAGCUUCACCGUCUUCGACAUGGCGCGGGUCCAGGAGCUCGCCGACGGGAUGGUGCUCACCGGCAGGCCAUUCCUGUGGGUGAUCAGGCAAAACUUCGCCAACGGCGUCGGCGAGGGAUGGCUGGAGGAGUUCAGGCGCCGUGUAAUCGGCAAGGGGAUGAUCGUCGGCUGGGCUCCUCAGCAGCGCGUGCUCUCGCACCCGUCGGUCGCCUGCUUCGUGUCGCAUUGUGGGUGGAACUCGACAAUGGAAGGGCUCCGGCAUGGCGUGCCGUUCCUGUGCUGGCCGUACUUCGCCGACCAGUUCUGCAACCAGAGCUACAUAUGCAAUGUGUGGGGGACAGGAAUGAAGCUCCUGGCCGAUGAGAGAGGGGUUGUCACCAAGGAGGAGAUCAAGAACAAGGUCGAGCAGCUUCUCGACGACAAGGAAAUCAAGGUGAGGGUGGCAAAGUGGAAGGAUGCGGCAUGCACAAGCAUAGCAGAGGGAGGGUCCUCGCAUGAAAACUUGCUGAAGUUUGUGAAUUUGCUAAGAGGACAGUAGUAACCUAGAUGGAAGAUGGUCGAAAUUAUUUUGACCUCAGAAGUUGGAAACUUGGAAUUAGCUAUUGGGUCUCUUUAGCCAAUUCGUGGGAUAAGAACAUACUCCCUCUGAUUUUUUUUAUUUGACGUUGGUGACUUUUAGAUAUAUGUUUGAUUGUUCGUUCUAUUCAAAAAUUUUAUCUAACUAUACAAAACUAUAAAUCAUGUUUAAAGUUUCUAUAGCAAAUGUCAACUAUAUAUAUCGGUAGAAAAAAUAGACGACGGCAAGUGAGAAGUAGAAAACGAUGGUAGGUAGAGGAUAGGGGAUAUCCAGGUUCAGACUCUCAAUGGUAGAUAAUAAUCUACUCCUGCUCAUGUUGUAUUAUGAGGUGGAAACAUAUCGCAAACAAGUUGUUGCACAAUAUGCUAUGUCGUGAUUACUCAGAGAGCCCCCUGCCUCACCUUAUAUACCAAGGGGAAGGGUUAUAAAGAUCGAAACCUAAUAUAAUAAGACUAAGCAUGUCCGAUUCAUACUUGGCUAGUUAUGAAAAUCUAGACAUAGUAAACCAAAUUCUUACCAUAUCACUAGCCGGUUACAGCCCAACAUCUUUCUUUACAAUUAGGGGCCCCCUUAUAAGAAUGCGUACAGUAUAUGUGUAUAGCCUAUAUCCGGUUAUUCUAUAGUAACAAAUAAAAUUAUAAUAAAAUAAUUAAUGAUUAUAUAUUUUUUUGAAAAAGACGAACAAUCAAAUGUAGACCUAGAGGUCAACGGCGUCAAAUAAAAAAACGGAGAGAGAACCAUUUUCUGGGAAAGAGUACUAGGUCUAGGAACCUUUUCACCGGUGCUAAAUGUAAUGCACUAUAAUAAAAAGCUAUAGUUUUUAUUAUUCAGAUGAUGCAUACACAAGUACUGAAAGUGACGCGGACAACAUCAGAAAAGAACUUUUUUUUAGUUCUCUAAACCAUCAAUCUCUAGUACCUUGAAACACUACAGCUAGGAAUAAAGUGUGAUACUAUUAACAAAGGAAUGCUGGAUGCAAACCAUUUAUACCAAGCCAGGUAGAGCUUACUUCUUUAUUAGAAAUGGAAACCAAUUCGAGAACUAAAGCUGAGAAUCAAGUUUAGCUCAAAUUUUAAGUUAGAACAACUCGUCAACAAGGACAUGUGGAGGAGCAUGCGGAUAUUCAUGAGCUACAGCAAGUAAACAUGCAUCUGCAUUCAAAUUUCAGACCCAAACAUCAUAUUCCUUGAUAAAAGGGCUCCUGAUGCAUCAACUAAUUGGGUAAGGAAUUAGCUCACCUGAAAAAAUGCAGGCACCCAGAAAACCGGAGGGAUGGUUGCUCUUCAAAUGUGACCAAUUUACUCCUAAACGACCUGAAAUGUUGCCUUUCAGCUAGAAGUCCAAAGUAUCAUGAUGAAUCCAAAUAGCUGAGAUUGUUCAUUGAGACUAAGGUCCCAGCAUUUGAAUUAUGUAUUAGCAUACUGUCCACAAAGCCAAGGUGAAUAAAAGAAGCCACUAUUAUUAAUUUGCAGGUGAGAAAUCUGCAUUAGUUCUCAACAUAAACAGAUGAAACUACUCAUAAAAAAAUCAAAACCCAGUUGGUGUUUGGUAACAGCCGAUAGAAUAUACCAUGAAUGAAAUAACUUGAUAAGCAUGAUUUUCACAAAUGCUGAAAACUCUGUACUUUCCACUGCAGUAUUGCACCAUUCAUCAUAAAAUUAUCAACAUUCAAUUUUCUAAAGUUGUUCUGAAUAAGUGCUCAAGAACCAAUAUAUAUGACCGGUUCAGAAUUUAUCUUAUUUUCCAGAUGAAUUAUAUGAUGCUCGUCUUUUAGUAUGACUAACAAAAUUUCAGAAAGAACUUCAGUUUGUGAAAAAGAAAUUUCUGGAAAGAACUUCACACAUUUUAUUAUGGGAUGGCAAUUCUUUUUACCUACUCAAAUCUAGUGAAGCUCCUUAUGCAUAAUGAAUAGGCAAGCUAGCAGAAGCUUAAUAACAGGAAUAUGUCACAUACUCACAUGUGCAUAAGGUAUGCAAAUAUGGUAGUCAUUUCAUACACGGCCACAUCUAGCAGCAAUCAAAUGUCAAUCCCGUGUGGCAUCUCCUUCCUUAUAAUAUAUUGACUAUUUUGCUUGCCCUAACAUGACAAAGACAGCAACGUGGUCAUCAAGUUUGAUAAUUUAGUUAAUAAGUUAUAUAAAUGAUUGUUUGAUUACCUUUUCUUGGGAAAGGAGAAACCUACACUCAACAGAUUACAUAUUUGCUGAUGCAAUAGGAAUGCCUAUGUGGCCCUUGGUGUACAAAGUCUAUUGGACCUAUCAGGCUAUAUCUAUCCACAAGAAGUCCAGUAUUUCAUCUCAAAAGCUUCUUGUAGCCAUAGACCAUUCUAAGAAGACAUAUUUCAAUCUUCCAUGGCUGCUGCUGCUCAACCUCAUGUCAUGGUGCUACCCUUCCCUGCACAAGGCCAUGUCAUUCCGCUCAUGGAGUUAUCUCAUAGGCUUGUUGAGCAAGGCUUCAUGAUUGAUUUUGUAAACACUGAGUUCAACCACAACCGUGUCCUGAAGGCCUUAGCAGAGAAAGGAACAAUCCCUGGUGGAAUUCGCUUGCUUUCCGUUCCAGAUGGUUUGGGCCCUGCUGAUGACCACACAGACAUCGGCAAGUUGGUACAAGUCUUACCGUCUGCUAUGCUUAGCCUCCUGGAGAAGAUGAUCAUAUCCAAGAAGAUCAAGUGGGUAAUAGUAGAUGUGUCCAUGAGCUGGGCGCUAGAACUGGCUACCACAGUGGGUGUCCGUAUUGCCUUGUUCUCAACUUACUCUGCAGCUGUUUUUGCACUCAGGAUGAACCUUCCUAAACUGAUAGAGGAUGGUAUUCUUGAUGAAACUGGUAAGGACAACUAAAUCACCCGCAACAAAGUAAUUUCUGUGUCACGUGUUUAUUUACUUCAUAUGGUUUAACCAGCCAAACAUACGCCAUCUAUGCAGGGAAUGUAAAGAGGCAUGAGAUGGUCCAACUGAUGCCACCCAUUGAUGCAGCUGAGAUCCCUUGGGUCAGCCUUGGCAGCACCCAAGAAAGACGGAGAUUUAACAUCCAAAAUGUCUUUAGGACCAACCAACUGAUGGCUCUAGCUGAAGUUAUUGUAUGCAAUACUUUCAGGGAAAUAGAAUCAGAAGCAUUGGCUCCCCUUUCGAAUGCACUGCCUGUUGGUCCACUUGUAGCACCUGCUUCAGGGCAAACAGGCCAUUUCUUGGCUGAAGACCUGACCUGCCUCACCUGGCUCAACACACAGGCCCCCGGCUCCGUUAUCUAUGUGGCCUUUGGGAGCUCCACCAUCUUCGACGUAGCACAGUUUCAUGAGCUUGCCAAUGGGCUUGCACUCUCUGGCCAACCAUUUCUGUGGGUUGUGCGACCAAACUUCACCAAUGGAAUCCAAGAAGAUUGGUUCAAUGAAUAUAAAGACUAUGUGGGGGGCAAGGGGUUGGUCGUCAGCUGGGCUCCCCAGCAACGAGUACUAUCACACCCUUCAAUCGCUUGCUUCAUGUCGCACUGUGGGUGGAACUCAACAAUGGAAGGAGUGCUGCACGGUGUCCCGUUCUUGUGUUGGCCUUAUUUUUCCGACCAAUUCUGCAACCAGAGCUACAUAUGCAAUGUGUGGGAGAUAGGCAUUAAGCUUGACCGAGACAUCAAAGGGAUUGUCACACAGGAGGAGAUCAAGAACAAGGUGGCACAGCUGCUAGGAGACGAGGGGAUCAAAGAAAGAGCUGCGACACUGAAGGCGACGGCCCAUGCAAGCAUCCAAGAGGGGGGUUCCUCGCAUCAGAACUUUCUGAAGCUUGCGAAUUUUCUAAGAGAACAAUGAUAUUUCAGAAUUCAGAAUUAACUGAUACAUAGAUCACUGAAGUCUUGAUGCAGCCAAAUAAGAUCAAUCUGUCAAUAAAAUAAACGGAAUGCACGCCUUAAUAAAAGAUUCCAUUGUUUGAUGCCAACUACUCUUUUUAAGUCUACUAUUUAAUGUAGCAAGUUGUACUAGAUUAUGAAACGGCUUAAUACCAUCAUUGGAGCAAGACAGAGUUAUGUGAAAGCUCUUUGCGUCAACCACCGGAAGUGUAAAUUUGACUCUAUUAGCUGGUUCCCAAUCUACAUAGUGACAGGAGAUGCUCAUGAGAGAAAAUGCGAGUUAGUAAGUAAAGCAGGACACUCUGCAUGCCUUGAGACAGAGUUCACCGAUGCACUGAAGGUGUUCGAUGGAAUGCCCAAUGCCGGACUCCGGCGACGAAACGCAGCGUGGCCCUCAUUGGACGAUGCACAUCUCGCAGUAGGAAAAUGAGCAAAAGACGGGAGUAACAAGAUCCUUGCCGUUCCCAUACCCGCGGCGGCGGUUCGACGUGGCGCGACUGAUGCCCCCGCAGCUCCGCCGCGGCAAAGGCGGUUGGUCUGGGGCAACCGACCAUGGCGCCGCGCCAGCGCGCGCGCACCGAAUCGGCUCCUCCAACUCCGUGGCCUCCCCACGCUCCACGCCUCCAUGGCACUCCGCCGCCCCGACCCCGCAUCCGCGCGAACGCGAAUGCCGCCGCCAUGGCACUACGCCACUCGUGAGUCGUGACCUCGUCGUGCGUCGUAGGUAGAUUUCCGUUUGUAGGAUCCAUUUCCGUUUGGGUAGGUUGGGCCGUUCAGCUAUUUUACGGAGGAAAGAAAGCUCGGUCCAAGUUGGGCUGCCAGUGUAUGGGCGUAAGAAGAGUCCUGCAACUGCAGCGUUUCUUCGUUUGACUGGGCCGCUCUUGGUCCGGAACAGUACAAAUAGUCCAACACCUAUCAAACGCCCAGCCCACAACGUCCAUGUUUUUUUUUUUUUUGUUUCAAGAAACCCACCGAACUGGGAAGGAACUUAGGAACAGCUUGCUGGUUUGGUUUGUGAUCUAAAUUGGUCUCGCCAGUAUUCGGUAAUUUUAAUAGUAUUAGCGUUUUUUUGAUUGAAGUAAAAUGGGUGAUUUUUAAAAACCAAAUGAUAUAUUUAAAAAUAAAAAAAUAAUUUAUGUGCAAAAAUUUUAUAUACGUGUGUUAGUGAUCUAAAAGCUGAAGCUAAUAAAAAAACUACAGUGAAAGAACCAUACAAUUUACUUUAAAUUAUGUUUAAAAAUUCAAAUUUUGGCAUAUAUAUAUAGAAGAAAAGCAGAAAGAUAGGGAUAAAAAUAUGGCAAACCUUGAAAGAAUAGACCACUUUGAUAAUAACUUAAGUACUCCCUUUUUUUAUUUGAAUAGUUGAUUUUAAAUCUAUGUUUGAUUAUUCGUCUUAUUUAAAUCUUUUAUAGAAAAUGCAAAAUUAUAAUCCAGGCUUAAAAUGUCUCUAGUAACAAAUUAAAUUAUAAUAAAAUAAUUAAUAAUUAUAUAAAAUAUUUAAAUAAAAUGAGUAUAUAGAUAUAGACCUAAAAGUCAACGACGUCAAAUAAAAAAGGAGUGGAGGGAAUACUAACUUAGGUUAUUUUAUCUUCAAUCCAAACACAAAAUUACCUUACUACAAUUGAUCAUACCAAAACUUGUGAACAUUUGUUCUCUCGUCUUUUUGUGUUUGCCCAAAAUUUAAAUUUCGAGCCUUAAAUUUAAAGUUGAUUUGGCCGUUUAUUAAUCAUGAUUUAUUUUUUAGUCUCCAUUUUUUUAUCGCUAAGAAUAUAUAUAUAUAUAUAAGUUUUAUCCAUAAAUUUUUUUUUACCAAUACUGGUAAGGUCACUUCUGAUUUCAGAACAAACCAACCCAGCUCGCCAACGAGUUGCAACAUUUAUCACGGACAAGGAAUCUGUCGCUCUGUCGUGUCUUCAUCCCAGCAAGCUGCGCGGCAAUACGGAUCCUAAACAGUUUGCACGAACGUCGUCGAAGCCGUAAUCGUGCACGCACGCCACCAUUCCCCACCGGCCACCGCCAACGCGCCGCCGCAAGAAGCCGCGCACCGCGCGAGACGCGCCGAGUUAGAAACCAGCACGGCAGCCCGCACGGGCACAAGCCGUCUGUAAAAAAAAAAAAAACAAAGCACCGCCUCGUCUCGUCUCGUGGCCGGCUGCUUCGGAGCAAGCACACUCGAUCCAGCACAUUUCACCCGCGACGCGAUGUCCCGCGCCACCACCGUCUCGAACUCGGCGAGAAGGGAAGGAAAACGACUCGCCUGGACCGGGGCGGCGAUGCGAUCGCGGCCCCCGUGAGGCGAACCCGUCGAACGACCGCUCGGUUGGUUAAUGGCUUUGGCGCUUCUUCCCACAUGCGCCAAGAAUCGUAGGAAACACCGUGUUCCUCUGCCGGCCAGCUUGUGUCGUCUUGUUUGAGAGCACACGAAUUGGUAACCCAAACUGCCCGAGAGCGUACAGGCUUAUGUGUACUAAGCUUCAAAAGAUUUGGCACAAGAUGACUGGAAGAAUGUGUUCAGAUACUCGAACUACAUGCUGGUACGUAUAAUGCACGUGCUCAAGUUAAGACUUCAGGGAAAGAAAACAAGCCACACGGCUGCAGAAGUGCAGAGUUUAGCAUGCAGUGUACAAAACUAAAAGUCGUUGAGUGCACAAGCAUAACCCUUCUGGUUUCAACAGUUGCAGCUUCCCACUGUUGCUGCUCCAAGGGUACUAGGAGUACAAAAGAACCUGAACUUUCUUUGCAGAGAAGAUGGCUUCUCAUCACCUCUCCCCGUUAGGUGAGCCUGGCUGCCCACAUGUUCCCUAGCACAUUGCAAUGUGCCCAAAGUAGACAAACCAUGUUGGCCAUCAUGGUCCAUGAUUAGAAUAAAGGAGAAGGGAGGAUAAAAAAAAAACACCACCAAAUGACUGUAGGUUGUUGGUGCAUGCCCAUUUUCUCUGCUCCCUCUAAGCCUAACUGAACAUUGUUUUUCAUUAGCUCGAUUGGUACCUCUCCUAACUUUGCCAAACUCACAUCACAUGUACUGCUACGAGCACUCACUAGGCCCGGAAAUUUGAAGGCCAACGACCUGCUAACAUCACAGAGAAAGCAACACAUUUCUCCCCAUUCUUGACGAAAUUGUACCGACCAUCCCGGCUCCAAUCGCGGACCGUUAUCCAGGUGUCCACUUUUAGGCAAGGAUUUCGUUGAGGUUGUCUUGAGUGUGUGCAGCAGUGCAACUGUGCAAAGAGUUCGUUAGAAGAUGCGGAUGGAGUAUAGUGCAAGCAAAAAUUUAUGUUGUUUGAUCAUGUGUGAUGUAUGAAUUAGUGUGGUUUUUGUUAAUUCCAGUAUUUGAUCAGGAAUUUUAGUCCCAGCAUCUGAACCUUUUUUUUUAAGUGAUCAUAUGAUUAGUGUGGUUUUUUAAUUACAAUGUCAAGGUUUGAGUGCAUGUGAUCAAUAUCAUGACAUGGUUCUUCCUACAUACAUCAUUUCCGUUUGAUGGCAAAGGUACAACACCUUUAAGUAAACUUUUGUUAGGGACGAUAAUCACCUUUAAGUAAAAACUAGUGCACUAUUACAGCAGGCAUAUAUGGAGCACCUUGAUCUAAAAGAACAGGAGAGAUAAUUACUUGAUCUUCUGAAGAAAAUUACACGACGCCGAAUAACAACAAACUCAGAAAAAGACGCAAGCCAAACAAAAGAAAGAAGAAGAAGAAGAAGAAAAAAAACAGGAGAGUCUCCAACGACCAAACAGCAGCCAAAUUGACGUCGCUUUCCAUCCCAUUGCUCUCCUCCCUGUUGGACUGUUCCGAUCGGCGAUCCGUACUCGCCGUUCUUCCGUUUUGCGUGCGGAGGACGCAUGCAUCCAUCUAUCGAUCCAUCCGCCACCAAAACGCUCUAAAUCCCGCGUGCUGGUUGAUGCAUUUUCUUGAUCACUUGAGUGGCACUCAAAAGCGAAAUCAUCGUCAACCUUAUUUCUCUCUGUUAGUUGCUUCUUAACCGAAAUCUGAUGGAGGAGAUGGUACUGGGAUUGCGUUUUCUUUCCUUUGCUUGCCUCCGAUGUCGGUGGGCUCUGUGCUAAGGUCAUGUUUAGUUCCUAAAAAUUUCCGCGUUCAAUCGUCACAUCGAAUUUUUAUAUACAUAUACAGAGUGUUAUAUAGUUUAAAAAUAACUAAUUGUAUAGUUUGAAAGAAAUUUACGAGACGAACCUUUUGAAACUAAUUAGUCUAUGAUUAAUCAUAACUACUACAGUAACUCAGAUGUGCUAAUACAUAUUACUUAGGCUUAAAAAUUCGUCUUGUGGCUUUCUCACACCCUAUGUAAUUAGUUUUUUAAUAGGACGCCGAAAUAGUCUUCUAAUAUCCGGUUAAAUAUUCGUUGUAACAUGCAACUAAAAAAUUUCGCGAACUAAAUAAACCCUAAAUUAUUGUUGGGGAGUGCCUUGAGAUGCAAAUGGUCAUAGCAGUGUUUGUUUAAAUGUCUCUUAGGGGGUACUUUCUCUUUAUUAUUUUGUUGUUGCGAUCGUUGUUGAUGUUGGUGGUGGUUGUUUUUAUUCAUCAUUGAUAUGUUGUAUUGUAUUUUAUGACUAGGUUGGUCAUAGAGAAAAUGGUAUAUUUUAGGAUCUUUUUAAUAAAAAUAUAAGGGUCUACUUGAUGGAGCUAUAUAGCUCAUAAACCAUAAACCUCUACAUAAAAUUCACUUGAUUUUAGCGUUAGUUUAAGGUUUUUUACUCAUCCUUGAUUAAAAUUAUUUUUUGUCGUAGCAGUCACAUGUAUUUGUCUUACAAAGUCGCAACCUACAAAAUUGUUUGUGGAUUUUUUAUUAGGUGGAACAGAAUAGAUGAUUUUGGUUUGUAUAGGUCAUGGUAUAUUGACUUAUGUCUAUCAGGAAAUAAAUUGAACUUAGAGUGUAUCAUUUUUAGCCGGAAAAAAACGUCCGGUGCUUUCGCAAAUGCUAGUGCUAAGCUAUUUUUAUCUCUUUUUUCAUAUGUCUGUUUACCAAACUAUUAAACGAUAUUUUAUUUUGAAAUAUAUAUAUAUAUAAAAGUUAUUUUACAAAUCAUAUUUUCUUUAAAUUAGCGGUAACUAAUAAUUAAUCAUAGCUAAUGGCUUCUCCGUUUUUCGUACACUAAUUAGCUGGCGUUUGCAAACGGGACAUUAUCGCCUUUCCUGUUUCCUAGAUUGUGACUUUGAGCAAGAAAAUGAGAAAGAAAGGCGAAGUGUUUUAGUUGAAAGUAAUCGAUUAACACCCUAUUAAAAUGUCUUUUUGUUUAUGUGACUUUGUAAAACAUCUAUGAUUCCCGUGUUACCAUGUCACCGGGGAUCAUAUCUAGCAAGGGUUCCAAGAAGUAUUCAUGCUAUGGUGGUGAACUCAAACUUCUUCAAGUUCAGAGGGGAGGACGAGAGAGAGGUUGUUAGGGGUGCGUUACAAUAAAUUUCCUCACUUUCCGGCUAACCUUUUUUUUCUCUUUUCUGUAACUCGUCUAGUCGUCUAUGGUUUUUACAUUUCAUAUUGAAUAUAAUUGGUAGUCCUUCUUUUGGUUUUCCAAAAAAAAAAUCCCCAAUGACUAAAUUAGCUAAGAGCUUUAAAUAUUACCUAAUAUAGGAUGACAAAAAAAUAUAUUAAUAGAAAUUAUAUAGCUAAACAUAUCGGGGCGUUUCUCUCUUAGUUCGAAGUUCAAACAAAUGAGGAGCUGGUUUUGUGGGAAGAAGUAACACUCACGUAGUACACAUUAGGCAGUUAAUAUCUGAGCGUUGUAGCAGUGACAUUCUUAUCAUCACCACCAGUGUCUUAGAUGAUAGGUGUACAAGAGUAACAUGUAUUUACGAGAAAAUACAUGUCCGUAUGUAUCUUGUGAUUAAUCGAGAAAAUAGAUCGAGCAGGACCUCUCGCCCACGAAUAAGUUCGACUCGGCCGGAGAGAUGACAGCAGGUCAAUGGCCACGCAAUGAACCGUAUGGUGUAACUAUAAGAAGAGGUGAUUGUUUAACGUAUUAAUAGAAAAAAAUCAAACGAUAUAUUUAUAAACAAAAAAUAAUUUAUAAAUAAAAAUUUUAUAUAUGUAUUCUUGAUGGUCUAGAAACCAAGGUUAAAAAAUAAAAUUUAAUAAAAAACGUAAAAUCAACUUUAAAAUUAAAAUUAAAAUUUUGGAUUUAUGAGAGAACCGAGAAGGAGGGGCGAAGGAUCUCCUCAAAGUUUCGAUGCUGCAGCAUCUUUUUUUUUUUUUUUUGCCCUUUUACCGAGCAUUCUGCUUCUCUUUCUUUGUCUUAUAACCAACCGCCAGAGAUGGCGUCGUGCCAUUCCCAGAAGCUUUCCGCCGUCGACUUGGCCCUGCACGUGGUAAGCGGCCGCCCGCAGGUCGACAGCGACAGCGGCAGGCAGGCAGGUGGGUGUGGUAGUACACCGUGCCCCGUUCUUCUCCUUGCUGGCCCGUGGUCUCCUAGUAGCAUCCUACCAGUCUAUCUAUCUUACUCUUCAUCCUAGAAAUAAAGAAUAAAAAGCAAAAGUUGAGUUUCAGCAGAAUAUUUAUCUCAUCAUAUAUUUUUAGAUGUUAUUCAUAUUAGAAGAGAAACUCUAUAUGUAGAUAUUCUUUCUCCAACCCUCCAAAUAGAUAUAGAGGAUAUCAUAUAUAGAUGAUCUGCGGGAUCUACUGAAGUACAAAGGGAUAUGGAGGAUGAAAGUGUUUUAGAUAGUCAUUCAAAUGAAUGAUAUGAAUGACCAGAUUUAGAUGAGUUGUUAGGAUGCUCUCACCUUGCCGACCACACGCUGUAACUGUGCGUGUGCAAAACCGGCGUCGCAACUCGCAAACGGACGCUUACUGUACACCCGCCCGUCGGUGCCACCGCGCAACACGGGAGGGGNNNNNNNNNNNNNNNNNNNNNNNNNNNNNNNNNNNNNNNNNNNNNNNNNNNNNNNNNNNNNNNNNNNNNNNNNNNNNNNNNNNNNNNNNNNNNNNNNNNNNNNNNNNNNNNNNNNNNNNNNNNNNNNNNNNNNNNNNNNNNNNNNNNNNNNNNNNNNNNNNNNNNNNNNNNNNNNNNNNNNNNNNNNNNNNNNNNNNNNNNNNNNNUGGCUAUCGGCGUUGCGCUGCGCGGCAGCUUCGAACCGGAACGGGCCCCGUCCCGUCCCGUCGGCGUCUGCUGACUUGGACUAGUCGUUUCUCACGUGCACAAAAAAGUCAGAAAAAAAAAACCGUAUUGUAUUGUCGUUGCCUUGCUGGUGCAGUGGUCUCUUGGCAUUUCUGUACGAGAGGAAAUGGCAGUUGGGAGGAACUCUCCGUGUAGUCCAUUCGGUGUUUUCAUUUUUUAUCAGAUUUAUCGGCAUCCAAUAUUAACAUUUUAUUUUUAAAUAAGAUUAGUAUAACUACAUUUAUGUAUUUUUACCAUCUGUCGGUGCAGCGCCUGCGGCAGUAGAAUCGGCUCCUCACUCCUGCUGCCGCUCCACGUAGUGAAAAGGGCAUGAAAAGAACGUGUACUUUUUCUGCUGAAAACCACGAGCCCACAUGUUUGGUAGUAGUAGUAGCAGUAGCAGUGUGUACAAAAGUAGACAACGGCCAUGUUGGCCAAUGGUUCUCGUUGUCAUCGUUCGAGGGCAAAAAUUAAAGAAGGGAUGAUGAACCAAAACAGUAUAUUUAUGAAAAAAAAGUAAUUUAUAAAUAAAGGUUAAUGAUAAAUCACGGUAAUAAAUCGUAAAAGAACUUUAAGCGAAAGGUGGACAGCAAAAAGCGCGCACACACUAGUGAAGUGAAGUUGGUAAUACAUCACACUUAUCUCUGCUUGCAAUCCUAAUUAAACCGUUUCUGUCCAUCCUAAUUGAGCAAUUGGCACCACUCCUAACUUCGCCAAACCCACAACACAUCCGCACCCACUGCUGCAACUGCAAGCAUUCACUAGGCCUCAGUGGCAGUAAGCUCACAGGAUAACUACACUCACCUCACAAUUCUUGACGAAGGCAGGCGAUCACGUCGACGAUCCGGCUCCGUCGACAGUCCAUUUUUAGGCAAAUCUCACCCGGUUUAGCACCCUGAAAAAGAUAAGUCUCAAAAUGGCAUAGCUGUGAUGCAAACAAGGAACACAAUCAGAUGAUACAUGCCCAAAGAGGAAUAGAUUUAGUGCCUUAUCCUCGCAUUUACGUUUUUUUCCUUAACUAUUUCGUGGCAGCAAUUAAAUCACUGCACUACAAAACGGCACUCUUCACUCCGGGAUCCAAAAGAAUUCCCCAAACCCAGAUCAGAUCAGAAUUCAGGACAUCCACUCGACGCCGUCGCCGUCGCUCUCCGGCCAACCAAACCAACCAAUCAACCGCGACGCCGCAGCAGCCUGCAGGUAAAAACAUUGCAGCAAGAAAUCUCUUCCCGUGCUGUCCCAAUCUGCGUGUGCUUGAUGUUUCUGUUAAUCUUUUGCGUGUGAUCCGGGGAGCCCGGGUAGAUCCAUCCAUCGAUUUCACCGUAGGGAGCGGCUCAAUUUUACAGCGAUAUAUGUUCAUGUGUGGGGCUGAUGGCUGAUCACUCCGGCCAGUAGCUAGCUGUUGAUCUGUGAUGCGUUUCAUGGUCGCUUGAGAGUCACUCAAAGGCGAAUCAAUCAUAACUUUUCUUGCUUUCCUUUUUUUUUUCUUCGGGGUGGUUAGCCUCUUCUCCUGCCGUUGCAACCGAUUCGGGUGGGGGAGGAGGAGAUGGUGGUACUGCCGAGGACGCUGCUUUUCUUCUUCUGUUUGCUCCUCCCUCCAACGUCGGUGACCUUCUCCUGGGUCAAUUAUUGUUGGGGAAGAUGCAGAUUAACUUGUAGGUUAGUUGUUUGCUUAGUGAAUGAAUGCCUCUUACUGAGGUUCUCUGUGUUGUAUUUAGCUGUCCUGAUAGUUGUGAUUGACAAUGUUUUGCUGGGGACUUCUUUUUUUUUUUUUUUUUUUUUUUUUUUUUUUUUUUU